GACAAAGAAGGAAAUGCAAUUUAUUGGUAAAAGCACAUUUAAUGUUAUCAAAUUCAAUGGUGUAAUGUGUUAUAUAUGGUUGGGAUCUGGGAUCUGUGGAUAUCUCUGGAAACUGGGAAAUCAUUGCAGCAUAGAGUUUUUGAGACCUGGAGAAAUUGGGUGUCUAUUACUGUUUUUGUCUUUNNNNNNNNNNNNNNNNNNNNNNNNNNNNNNNNNNNNNNNNNNNNNNNNNNUGUUUUUUUUUUUUUUUAAGACCUGGUGAAAUUGGGUGUUCAUCUCUGUCAUUUUUUAACUUGUGAUGGUUUCAUUUUUUCUAUUGGUACAGUUGCAGGAAGCUGUGAGUAGAGGUCCAUACCUCACUGGCAAGCUUCGGGAAGCACAGCCUGCAAUAAUGACAGCCGACAGAUUCUAAUUUGCUUGAAGAGGAGGAUACUUAACCUGACAAAGUUGUGUACUUAUUUUCAUACAGAACUAAAAUUAUAUACCUUUGUUUAAAGUUAUUUGGAUUGAUUUUAGAAAAUCCGAAGUCUCCCAAGAUUCUCAAAAACUAAACAGAAAUUUCUCCAAUUUAGUUGUCUUGUUUGCUAGUUUAUGAGAUGAAAGGAUGAUUUGAGAAGGCAAAUUUUGAUCAGACUUGUCAAUUUGAUCCUAUUUCUUUAGGCAGGUGAUAUGCUUUAUCGCGUUCAGAGCAUUAAUUCUUUUAUUUAUUUAUUAUAAAUAUCGCUCGAUAUGUUUCACAAUUUGUAGAUUUCAACAAGGCUGUGCUCCCUGCUGCUCCAGUUCUAUAAAAGAGGUAACAACUUUUUUUUCAACUCUGUUUUUGCACGACUUUAUUAGUGUUUUUCAAUAGGAUAAUUUAUAAUUUAGUUUUUGUAGUUCAAUAAAACUACACGUUAGUACUGUGAUAUUAGAUCUUAUUGUUCUGUCAUUGCUAAAAUUAGGGUUUUCAAUGCCCAAUCACAUUCCUACGCCUGGCCACAUAUAGGCCUAGAGCUAAGUUUGGAUAUCACUAGACUCAUGCAAGUCAAUUUAAUUAAAAAAUAUGUAUAGAAUGUAAAAGAAUUCCUUUGUUCUCAUUUAAAAAUUUAAAAGUAAAUCUACAUUUAUGCGCCAAAAACGUAUCGACGACAAAUUGGGCAUGUCAAGUUCUUCUCCAACCAAUCAUCAAUACAAUCUGAAUGAAACAUAUGUUUACACUUGGGAAAUAUUCUGCAACAAUCUCCUUCAACGUAAUCCUCCAAACAAAUUGCACAAUCACCAUAUCUCAAUAUCAUUUCUUCAUCUCCAUUUUCUUCUUCUUCUUCUUCUGCUUCUUUGUAUUCUACAGACGGCAACAAAUUGUCGAUAAACUGCGUUCGUGCUAUUUUAUCCUUUCUAAACCUUUGAAUCUCGUCCAGUAUCUCUUCAUUCCAAUACUCCAAACUAUAGUUAUACAUAAACCUAUCUCGAUCAUACAUUACUCCGAGUUCAAGAUCAUCAAACUCAUCGUGCAAACACAGAGGUUUAAUGAUGUAGUUAAAUGUCAUGUAAACAAUGAGGAAGAUGGUUGACAGGGCAAUCAUGCACAGUAAGACUGUGCAAAUCAAGACGGUGGCUAUAAAACCCAUUAGAGCAAUUAAAUCGGAAUGCGAAGUGUCGCUUUUGGGGAAGAAUUGCUCAAACAUUGAAUGAAUCUCCAUGUAAGAAUUGAAUUUUUUCUUUUUGGCCAAUAAAUUUUAUUGCCAAAAUUAAAUGAAGCUCUGUAUAGGAAUAUUCAAAUCAGAAAGGAUUGAGUAUUCAUUUGCUAUCUGAUUCACAAUUUAUAUUAUUCAUCAUAAAGUCGUUGGCUUGAUAGCUUAUCAGUUUGAACAAAGUUAGUUCUUAAACUAACUAAGAAAUUAAAGCAAAUAUUAAAAGAUUGUAUUAGUGAAAUUGUUAUUGUAACUAUACUGUAAUUAGCUAUCAGGACAAUGUUAUAAGGUUGUCGAGAUUGAUUUGUUAGAUUUUGUUACCGUUAUAUUUAUAAAAAAAUAAAUAUUUGUAUACCUGAAAUUGUUACAGCCUGAAAGAAUACAGGAAGAAAAAUUUCAGUUAAGCGUUCAUUAAUAUGUAUACAUGAAAAUUGUUACUAUUUUUAAAAAUAGAUUAUAGGCGUUUGGUAAAAUUCUUAUCUGAUUUAUGUUGUUUAGGACUAAAAUGAUCUAUAAUCUAUGAUUUAUAUAAAAGUGAAAGAGGAAUAAUUGGAUUGGCAAAAAUAAUCCUAGUUUUUAUAUUAUUUAUAAUUUUAUAUUUAUUAUUUAAAUAAAUUUAUUUUUAAAAUUAUAUAAAUAAAUGUGUAGCAUUGUUGGGAGAUUAUAAAUUCAAUUUUUAAGUAUUGCCAUGUGAAAUUUUUUCUUUUAACGUUAAUUUUUUUUAAAAGAGAAUCAAUGUAGACAUUAAUUAUGAUUGUUAAAAUAGUACAUAAUUAAAGCGGGUUCAAAUGGUGAGUCAGAGUAAUCGGUUUUCGGUUUAAAUUAAAAAAUUAAUUUAAUUAAAUUAAUUUAAAAAUUACAGUUAGACUUUUUAUUUACUUCAAUUUAAUUUUUAAUUUAAAAAAUUUUAAUUCAAUUUAAUUUAAUUUUAAUAAAAAAAAUCAAAAUAAUUGAAUCAAAUAUAUUAUUUUUUAAAAUAUAAAAAAAUUAAAUUAUAAUUAAAGUUAAAAUAUUUCAAUUAAAUUUUAAAAUACGAAAAAAAUUUAAAAUUAAUUUACGUGAACAAAUUGUAUUUAAAAAAUUGAUAGUUGAAGAGAAGUUUUUAUAUAAAAAUAAAAAAAAAAUUAUUAUUUAAUUUUUAUUAUAUGAAAAAACUCAUUAGUUAAUUUUUCAAUCUCGAAAAAUAUAUUAAAAUAUUACUAAUAUUUUAAAAAGUCUAUUAAUUAAUUAUUCUAUUAAUUUUUAUCGUCAAGUAUUAUAAAAAAAAGUUUAAAAUGUUUGUAAUACAAAGGAUUAAUCAGUAAACUUUAAUUUUAGAAACCUAAGUGACCAACUAAUAAAUUUCUCAAAACUAUAGAGACUAAACAGUAAAAUAUUUAACGACUAAAAUUAACAAAAUAACUAACUAGUAGAUUUUUUAAAAUAUCAGAAACGUUUUAAUAAAUUUUUUAAAAUAUAGAGAUCAACUAAUAAAUUUCUCUAUAGCAUAGAAUAUAGCAUAGAAUCGAUUAAUGGAUUUUUAAAUAAUAUAGAAACUAAAUAAUAAAUUUUUAAAAGAAAUUAUAUUAUUUAAAAAAUAAAGAGAUUUUAAUAUAUAUAAAUAUUGCAAGAUUAAAAUUUUUCAAUAUCGAUAAAUGGAGCACACAUCUAUACAAUUUGAAUGAAAUAGGUAUUUGCAUAAUUAUACAUAAAUCUCCUUGAUUCGAUAUAAUCUUUUAAACAUACAGUACAAUUUUCGUAUUCCGAUUUUAUUUCUCAGCUCCAUAUCUUAUAAACGGUAAUAACUAAUUGAUGAUUGUUGGUAAUUUGGGUUUCAUAGUGUUUGAAAACUAUUAUUGCUACAAUAACAAUAGAUAAUAAGAUUAUGUAGAUGAAGAUGAUUAUCAGGAGAGCAGCAAUAGUGGCAAAACUAUGGUGUGAGAGAGUCAUCUUCUUCAUGAAUGAAUAAUUAAUGAUGGCUUGAAAUGCAAUUCAUGGUUUGUAACUCAGCUAUUUAAAUUACUAUAAUCACAAAUUAGGGAGUUAAAUUUAAUUAGUUCCAAACUAAUAAACAAAUUUUAGCAAAUCUUAUUGUUAUGUAUAUGUGAAACAGCAAGACUUCAUAACUGAAAAAUUAAAAAAAAAAUGUUAUUAUAGUUAAUUGGAAAAAUUACUUUUUAGUCUCUGAAAUUUAACGUAAUUAACACUUCUGUCCCUCUAUUUUGAUAUUUAUCAUGAAGAACCGCUCUCAACAUACUAUCUCCAAUAUUUACAUAAAUCAAAUUGUUUUUUUAAUUACGGAAUUGUUGUUAGACUCAAGAUUUUCAUAUAUAUAUAUAUAUAUAUAUAUAUAUAUAUAUAUAUAUAUNNNNNNNNNNNNNNNNNNNNNNNNNNNNNNNNNNNNNNNNNNNNNNNNNNNNNNNNNNNNNNNNNNNNNNNNNNNNNNNNNNNNNNNNNNNNNNNNNNNNNNNNNNNNNNNNNNNNNNNNNNNNNNNNNNNNNNNNNNNNNNNNNNNNNNNNNNNNNNNNNNNNNNNNNNNNNNNNNNNNNNNNNNNNNNNNNNNNNNNNNNNNNNNNNNNNNNNNNNNNNNNNNNNNNNNNNNNNNNNNNNNNNNNNNNNNNNNNNNNNNNNNNNNNNNNNNNNNNNNNNNNNNNNNNNNNNNNNNNNNNNNNNNNNNNNNNNNNNNNNNNNNNNNNNNNNNNNNNNNNNNNNNNNNNNNNNNNNNNNNNNNNNNNNNNNNNNNNNNNNNNNNNNNNNNNNNNNNNNNNNNNNNNNNNNNNNNNNNNNNNNNNNNNNNNNNNNNNNNNNNNNNNNNNNNNNNNNNNNNNNNNNNNNNNNNNNNNNNNNNNNNNNNNNNNNNNNNNNNNNNNNNNNNNNNNNNNNNNNNNNNNNNNNNNNNNNNNNNNNNNNNNNNNNNNNNNNNNNNNNNNNNNNNNNNNNNNNNNNNNNNNNNNNNNNNNNNNNNNNNNNNNNNNNNNNNNNNNNNNNNNNNNNNNNNNNNNNNNNNNNNNNNNNNNNNNNNNNNNNNNNNNNNNNNNNNNNNNNNNNNNNNNNNNNNNNNNNNNNNNNNNNNNNNNNNNNNNNNNNNNNNNNNNNNNNNNNNNNNNNNNNNNNNNNNNNNNNNNNNNNNNNNNNNNNNNNNNNNNNNNNNNNNNNNNNNNNNNNNNNNNNNNNNNNNNNNNNNNNNNNNNNNNNNNNNNNNNNNNNNNNNNNNNNNNNNNNNNNNNNNNNNNNNNNNNNNNNNNNNNNNNNNNNNNNNNNNNUGUUGUCUUUUUUUUUUUCUUAUUUUCUUUUAUUUUCUCAUUAAUUUUCUUAAUUUUUCUUAUUUUCCCUUUUUUAUCUUAUUUUCUUUUAGUUUAUCUCAUUUUCUUUCAUCUUUUAACUUGUCUCUGCUGUUUCUAUUUUAUAAGAUAAAAUAAAAUAAUCCCUUUUUGUCCAUGAAAAUAAGUGGUAAGAUAUAUAUUAAUUUAAUUUUAUGUCUUAUUUUAAAAAAUAUUUUUUAUAAAACAUAUUUUUUAACAAAAUAACUUAUUUUUCAUUCUUUAAUUUUAAUUAAAAUAUAAAACAUAUUAAAAAAUUUAUAUAUAGAAAUCUUAAUGAAUAUCUUAAAAAUGUAAAAAAUAACUUUUUUUUUUUCAAAAUAUGAUUUUAUUUUUCGUAAAAAUGGCUUAAUUUUUCUUUUAUUAGAAAAAUAUUUUCGAUUCACAGAAUAUUUUGAGUGUUUUAAAUACCAGAAAAUUUAAAAAAUAUUUUUAUGAAACAAAUAAAGUCUAAAUUGGAAUCCAGUAAAACCUUAUGUGAGGAAAAUUUAUGUUGUAUUAUUAAUUUUAAAAAAUUUACUUUUUAAUUCUUAUAUUAUAAAAAAAUUCAUUAAUUUCGCAUUUACUCUUGAAAAAUAUAUUAAAAAGUUUUUAAUAUUUUAAAAAGUUUACUAAUUAAUUUCUCCAUUAAUUUUAGCCAAAAUAUUAUAAAAAAAAUUUAAAAUAUCUUCUAUAUGAAAACUAGAGACUAAUUAAUAGAUUUUUUUAAAUUACAAAAAUUAAAUAGUAAAAUACUUAAUUGAUAAAAUUAAUAAAGAAACUAAAAAAUAAAUUUUUUAAAAUGUCAAAACAUUUUAAUAUAUUUUUUAAAAUAAAAAAAAUUAAUCAAAUGAGGUUUUUUAUAUUAUAAAAAUUAAAUUUAUACCAUAAGGGAUAAAUAAUUUUUUUAAAAAAUUUUAUAGGAUUGUGCAUUAGAAGUUAAUUAUAACAAAAACUGAAAAUGAAAAGGUGAUCCAAAUGAAUGCUAUCAAACAACAAAACACUCAUGGAGAAUCUUCAAGUUGUGGAUGCAAGAGGCGUCUGUGGGUGUUGGGUUUUCAAAAAGGAGAAAAAAAAUAAAAAUAACAAUUUGGGUUGUGGGUUAUGGGUUUUUGAAGCAGGACACAGACACACCUAUCAUUAUUGUGAUUUGGAUGCAAUGAGUAAUUGCUUUAUAUCAUGGAGGCAAUGCCCACCAUUACGGCAAAGCAAUUUGGGUUGGGGCUAGAAGAAAUAGAUUUUCAAAGGAGGAUAAUGGGAUUUGGAAAUAUUUUUCUUUGUCAUGUGUUUUACAUCAAGGUAUGGGCAUUAGAUUUUAAUAAGAAAAAAACCAUCUUUCUCAAAAAUUAUUUCAUGCAAUUUAAUUAUAAUAAAUUUAUAUAGAAGUCACUGUAACCGAUACUUAUAAUUCAAAUCAAUUUUUCUAGUAUAAAUUUUCUUCACUUUCUAUCGCUCUUACACUCAUUCAAGCUAUUUCGGAUCUUCACUAUAAUUAAUGAGUUUCAUUAUUCGUAGUUAAAAAAAAAUAAAAUAUUUGAACAUUUUAUUUUUAUGAAAUUUGUAAUUAAAAUUUUAACACAUAAAGAAAAGCUAUUUGUUUAAAAUAAUAAGAUGAAAAAAAAAUAAAGAGAUUUUAUUAUAAAUAAACAUUUCAAUCGGUCACUUAUUAAGAAUAUGUUGACGACAAAUGGGACAUGUCAAAUUCUUCCCCAACCAUACAUCUAUACAAUUUGAAUGAAAUAUGUGUUUGCACGUAGGAAAUAUUCUACAUAAAUCCCCUUCCCUGUAAUCUUCCAAACAUAUACCACAAUCUCCAUACUUCGAUUUCAUACUUUCAUUUUCAUAUUUUAACGAUGGUGAUAACCAAUCAAUUAGCUGAAUUCUUGCUAAUUUAUUUAUCAUGAUAGUUGAAGAUCUAUCAACCAUUUGUUCAUUCGAAUGUAAAUGACGAUUGUAUAUAAAUUGAGGUCGAUCAAAUGUUACUCCAAGUCGUAGAUCAUUACUGAAAUCAUCAUCUAGAAAGAAAGGUUGAAUGAAAUAGUUAAAUAAUAUGUAAAGAAUAAAAAAUGUAAUUGCUACAAUAAUAAUGGGUAGUAAGGUUAUGCAGACUAAGAUGAUAAUCAUGAGAGCAAUUGCAGCGGAAAAGAUAUGGUGUAAGACAGGAUUUGAAGGUAGGAAUUCAGAAAUUGAAGGAAUCAUCUUUUUGAAUGAAUGAUGGGUUGAAUAUGGGAUCAUGCUUAGCUUCUAACUUAGCUAUUUAAAUUGCUAAUCCCAAACUAAGUAGUUAUCUAGGAAGUUUAAUUUAUGUUUCAUCAACUAAAAGAAAUUUAGUUUGAAACUAAUAAUAAAAAAAACUAGAAUGAUGAAAACAAUUAACUACGGUGGAACUAGGGCAAAGCAAAGAUGUUUAAAAAAAAUUCAAAUUAUUAUAAUUUUAUUUGGAUAUUUACUAAAUUUGUGAAAUAGUUAUGAUUAUGGUACUUGUUAAAACGAAAGUUUUAGCAAAAUCAUAUUGUUAUAUAUGAAAAAUUAAGAGUUCAUAACUGAAAAACUAAAAAAUAAGAAAAAAAAAAUAAUUCUAGUUAAUUACCAAUUAUAAAUAUACUGAUAUUACUUACUAACUCUAAUAUUUUCCACAAAUAAAUACAGUCAUAUAUUAAUUAAUUUUGAUAUAUAAAAAAUUUUGAUAGAGAUAAUAGUAAAAAAAACAUAUUCAACUAUUUGUGUUUUAAUAGAUAUAAUCUAAAUUAUAAAAAUUAAUUAUUAUAUUCUACACUAAUAUACUUCAAAUUAAAAUUUUAAUUUAUUUGAUUUUAAAUUUUAAUUCGAUUUACUUAUGAUUUUGGAUGAUAUAUUUCAAAGAGUCCAUAACUCAUUUUUCUAUUUUUUUUGCAUUUACAAGUACAAUUUUUUUUAAUUACGAUAUUACCGCUAGUAAAUAAAAAAUUAUAAUUUUUAUUAUCUAAAAAAAAUUAAUUAUAUGUAUUACAUCCACUUUAAUAUUGUUAAAAGUUAACGAUGAGUCGAAAAUGACUAAAUUUAAUUUAAUUUAUGACUAUAAUUUAUAUCUUGCAUAAUGAAUUUAGUCAUUUUGAAUUUAUUAAAUUAAUGAUUGCAACCUAAUUAGAGUAGAUAUAAUAAAUAUAAUUAAUUUUUCAAGUAGAGAGAAUUGUGCUUCUUAAUUUACUAGAGCUAAUGUUAUCACACUACUUAUAAUCUAUAAUUAUACAAAAAGUUGCAAUUGUGAAGAAAAAAAAAAGAGUUAUCGGUUCUUAAAAAUAUAUAAUCCAAAAUUAUAAAUAAAACAAAUUAAAAUAAAAAAUUAAACUAAAUUAAAAAUCUGAUUUGGGAUAUAUUUAUUAAAAAAAAUUAUGAUAUAAUUAUUGAAAUUUAUAUAGCGUUUGUCAAACUUAACGGAGAGUAUAAAUAAAUUUAAAUGUCUAAUUUAUGUUAUAUUAGUUAACUUUUAUAAUUUAGGGUAUAUUUAUUAAAAUGAAUACUUUAAGUGUUUUUUUUUAUAUAAUUUACAGAACACUUCUAAGAUUUGACAAAACCUACAAAAUAGUUUCUUACUAAACUUUUAGGAAUAAAUUAGACAUUUAAAAUUAAUGUAAUCAAGUGCUCAUUGUGUUAAUUGAAGGGUGAAGCUACCAUUACUUUAAAGAGAAAUGACUAAUUUACCCUUUAACUGAAAAAAAGACUUUAAAUUAAAUCUUUCUUAAUCGAGGUAAAAUGUCAAAAACCGAAUAAAUUUAAGAAGCGAAAACCUCUAUGUUCUUUUGAUUUCUUUUUCAUGUCCCAACUAAGCUAUUCUCUCCCUAGACCUGUGGUGAGCACCAUGCACCGAGAGCGAUCUGAAGGUCUGGCACCAGCUCCCAGCGCCUUUAUACCAGAAUGAUCCCAAUCAAGCGCACAAAUAAGUAUCUCCACUUUUCUACCAAUAGUUUCUGACCUCUCUCCCUCUGAUGAUAACUCAAUCUUUCCUGUCAUGAUCCCCCAACUGCAUCACGCCCAUGCCCCUUUGUCUUCUCCAUCGAGAUUUGUCCCUGUGUGGUAGCUAUAAUUCCCUUGAUUUCAUCAUGGCUUAUUCUCCUAAUGCUACUUUAUUAUUCUCAGAUGAUGUAGCUUGGGUGGGGAGGGGAGGAAAGGCUGGAACCAUAUUGAAUACUUUUUCUAAGGGAGAAUUUGUAAUGUCGGCAACGAAUAAUGUUCUGACGAGUGGGUUGAUGGUUGUGUCUAUGGUCAAUUUACCUCCUAUAAUUUUUUUCAAUUCAACUUUUUUACUCGUAUUAAAAAAAUAAUUUUUAUUAACUUUUCAAUUAUACUUAAAGAUAUUAAAUUUUAUUAAAUACUAAAAUAUAUUUUAAAUAUUUAUUUAAAAAAUAAUAAUUAAUUAGAAAUUGUUUUGAAAAUAAAAUUUAAAAAAUCAAAUAAAAUAAUAACAAUCAAUUUAUAUGUUAUGUAAUGUAAAAAAAGAAAGUAGAUAAUAAUUGUAAAAUAAUAAAAAAAUUAAAUAAAAAUUAUUAGAUAAAAACAAUAAUAUUUAAUAUUUAUAAUUAAAAUAGAAAAUAAAGAACCGCAAGAACAUCUCCCAUUAAAUCCAUAAUUUUCUUGAGCACAUGCAGGAGAGGGCCCUAAACACUCAUCAAACUAAGGAAGAUUGGAGCCCAUGUAGCAAAUGCAUGUUGUAAUCCAAAAUGAAUGCCAUCAAACAAAACAGCUAAAGAACAUGGUUGAAAUUCCAAUCUAAUUCGGGUUACGGGACAAAACCUUUCGAGAAGAGUAAUGAUUUGAUCCAUAAAAAAAUAUAUUCAUAAUUUUAUUAAGGUAAUUUUUCUAUUCACUAAAAUUUGUGAAAUAGUUAUGAUUAUGGUACUGGUUAGAACAAAAGUUUUAGCUAUGAAACAUAAUAAGUUCGUAACUGAAAAUUAAUGAAAUAUUGAGUCGUAGAUUUUCUAAUAUCUCAUAAAUAUUUUAAUAUAUUUAUUUUAAAACUAAUAAACUAACUAAUAAAUUCUUAUAUUACAUGGAUUAAUAAUAAAUUAUCUAUUAAUUUAUGUGUGAAUAAUUUGUUUAAAAAAAUUAAGAAAUAACUUAUUAUUUAUUUAUUUUUAUUAUAAAAGAAAAGAACAAUGUAAAUACUAUUUAUGUAUUAAAGUCUAGUAUAAUUUAAAUAAAAAUUUUAAAAUCUAGAAAAUUAUUUUGUAUUUUGAAAAGAUUAAGUUACUUUUAUUAAAUAUAAUUUAAAAUUUCAUUUAUUUAAGAAAUUUUUUAAUCAAUUUUCAUGAGUAAUCUAAAUAUUAAAAAAUAUAAAAUUAUAAAAAAUAUUUUUCUGACAAGCAUUAGAUGCUUUUGUAUUUUAUAUUGUUUUAUUAAUGAGUUGGAAAUAUAAUUUUGCAGAAACCCAAUUUUUUUUGUUUUUUUUUAAAACCAACCACUAAAAUUAUAUGGAAAAUUUAUAAUUUAGUCCUUGAAUAUUACUAUUAUUAAGAAGUUAGUCCCUGUAUUUUUAGAAAUCUAUUAAAACAUCUUUAUGUUUUUUUUCCGUUAAUGAAAUAGUCCUUCCACCCUCUUUUCCGUUAAAAUUAGAUUAAGGAGGAGAGAGAAAAUUUUUAAAAUCCAAUUUUACCCUCAAAUAAAAUCCUUUAUUUAGUCCUUGGAUAUUGUUAUUAUUAAUAAGUUAGCCCUUACAUUUUUAAAAAUCUAUUAAAACAUUUUUAUCUUUUUCAAUAUAUAUUAAAACGUUCUUAUCAUUUCUUUUCGUCAAUGGAAUCUUUUCUCAUAUCUAUUAAAACGUCCUUAUCGUUUCUUUCCAUCAACGAAAUAGUCCUUCAUCAUCGUUUCUUUCCGUCNNNNNNNNNNNNNNNNNNNNNNNNNNNNNNNNNNNNNNNNNNNNNNNNNNNNNNNNNNNNNNNNNNNNNNNNNNNNNNNNNNNNNNNNNNNNNNNNNNNNNNNNNNNNNNNNNNNNNNNNNNNNNNNNNNNNNNNNNNNNNNNNNNNNNNNNNNNNNNNNNNNNNNNNNNNNNNNNNNNNNNNNNNNNNNNNNNNNNNNNNNNNNNNNNNNNNNNNNNNNNNNNNNNNNNNNNNNNNNNNNNNNNNNNNNNNNNNNNNNNNNNNNNNNNNNNNNNNNNNNNNNNNNNNNNNNNNNNNNNNNNNNNNNNNNNNNNNNNNNNNNNNNNNNNNNNNNNNNNNNNNNNNNNNNNNNNNNNNNNNNNNNNNNNNNNNNNNNNNNNNNNNAUCAUAUGGUAAUCUCGUUCGUUUUUUUUUAGUUUUCAUUUUCUAAUUUUUUUUUUCAAUUACAAAGUGAACAUAACAUUUAUUCGAUAACUUUUUUUUUAUUUAUUUAUAAAAAAAAGUGGCCAUUGAAUUUAGAAUUCUAAAUAAAUAACCCAAAAACAUAGUGCUAGAAAAGAAAUACAUACAUUUUAUUAAUAUAUAAACAUUGCAAUUAGUUACAUAAUAAAAAUACUUUGACGACACAUGGGGCAUGUUAAAUUCUUCUCCAACCAUGCAUCUAGACAAUUUGAAUGAAACAUAUGAUUGCACACAGGAAAUAUCCUACAUAAAUCUCCUUCAAUGUAAUCUUCCAAACAUAUAGCACAAUCAUCGUAUUUCAAAUUCAUUUCUUCAGCUCCAUAUCUUGUAGACGGCAACAACCAAUUGAUGAACUGAAUUCUUGCUGAUUUUGUUGAAAAUUCAUUAAGUAUUUGUUCAUGUGAUCCUAAAUCACGAUUAUAUGUAAAUCGAGAUCGAUCAAAUAUUGGUCCGCGAUCAUUACUAAAAUUAUCAUAUAAGAAUAUUGGUUGAAUAUAGUUCAAUAAUAUAUAAAUUAUGAAAAAUAUUAUUGAUACUAUAGCAAUGGAUAAUAAGGCUAUGAAGAUCAAGGUUAUAAUUAUGAGAAAAGCGAGAGUAGAAAAAUUAUGGUGUGAGAAAUUGUUUGAAGAUAAUAACUCAGAAAGCGAAGGAAUCAUCUUCUUAAUUAAUUAACGAACGAUGGGUUGAUUCAUGAUUUGUAACUCACUUAUUUAAAUGAGUAUAAUCACAAAUUACGUGGUUAGAAAGUUGAAAUUAAGUUUCAUCAAUUAAAACAUAUUUAGUUCGAAACUAAUAAAAAAAACUAAAUCUUAGUAAAUUUGUUUAAAUAUAUAACCUUAGUUAUAAAUUAAUGUAAUUUUUAGAUUUAUUCAUAUGGUAUAAAAAAUUUAAAAAAAAUUAAAAAAAACGUAUUGUGAUUAGUUGAAAGAAGAUGUAUAUUAACAAACUUAUUGUUAGACUACAGUAUAAUGAACCAAUUGGUUGAGAAAGAAUUAAGACUUGAAAAACUGAAUUUAUAUUCUUUUGGUAAUGAGUUGGAAUUACAAGUUUGCGGAAAACAAAACUAUUAUUUUAUUAAAAACAAAACAAAAAAUUAUUUAUUUAAUUAAAUAAUAGAAAAAUGUAUGGAGAAAUACUUUAAUUUUCUGCUUAGGUACUUGUUUAUGCAAGUCGGUUAAAUAAUUGAAUUUACUUGUCCACAUUUUAUCAUGCAAGUUUUUAUAAUCUGGUUCAUAUUGAUUUUGAUAUUUUCAAAAAAUUAUAAAUAAUUUUCUUCUUUUUAAUUAUACAUAUAUAAAUACUUAUUUUUAUGUAAUUAUAAGAUAAAGAGAAUUAGUUUAUUUUUUUAAAAAAAAUUAUAAAUGUACUUAAAGAUAAAUCUCUAUGUGUGUUUACAAGAUCGAUUUUUUUUUUUUAUUGGAAAGAGAAGAUGUUUUAAGAAUAUUGUUCAAAGUGUCGAAUUUCAGCUCUGAUGUGUGAAAAUCCAGAGAAUAGGAUUUUAGUGUGUGGGUAAACUUGAUUCUUCGGAUGAUACUCAUUUCCUUUUAUUUUUUUCUUUUUGUUUGCCAAUGACGAUUAACGAUCUAUCUGCUUGCUACAGUGACGUCUAUCUCUGCCAGGUGAGAUUUGUUUUCUCCCAAUGCGCAUGCGAAUAGGGCUGCGAAAGGACGCGACUUGCCCAUUUCUCCCAUGUCUGUUUUUCGGGCUGGCCUCCUAUUGGGCUUAGGCUUGCGGACGACCCGGCCUGUCAUUCAUACUAGAUCCCGGAUUGAAAUCACUGGACAGACCUGUCUAGAGGCGCUCCGAGUUCAAAGUCUGGUAUGCUCUCGUGGGCUCUAAUUUAGCCAAAAAAAAAGUGUGAGACCCGACGGUUAUCAAACUCCAAUCACAAAUGUGUAUAUCCAUAAUUCUAACGUUGAUUAUUUAUUUGUUUGGGAAAAGUAUAAAGCAUUAAUCCAACUUAAAUAUGACCAAUGAAUCAUUUAUAUAUUUAUAUAUUUUUAAUUUUAAUUUUUAUAUACUUUUUCAACACGUUUUGCAUUUUUGUAUAAAUAGCUAUUUUUAUUUAUUUAUUUGAUAUUGUUAAUAAUUUUAAUUAAAUUUUAUAAAUUGAUAUUUUAUAGAUAUUUUACUCUUAUUUUAUAAAUAAUAUAUUAAUUAAAAUUUAAAAAUUAUUUAUUUCAAAAGAAAGGAAAAAAUUACAUAAACAGUAAUAUAGCAGUAAUACAGUUAUAUUACAGUUUAUAUCUGUUAAGUUGUUAACUCAUUUUAAACAGUAAUACAGUUAUAUUACAGUAAUACAGAAGAUUCAAAAUUAUGGUAAUAAUAGCAUUUUUUUUUUGUUAGGACAACCUUUUUGUGCAUAUAAAUAAUUAUUUUUUAUUUUAGAAUAGGAAGAAAAGCCCUAAAAUAAUAAAAAAAAGAGUAUAUAGCCACCUCCCUUUAUCUUCCGCUUUUAAUUUCCACCAUUUACCUUCUCUAUCAACCUAAAUCUCUUGGAGGAAAUGAGGAGUAGGUCAUAGGUGCAACUUCACCAAUGAAGGCUCUUUGAGCAUGGAUUUUCAUCAUAUGAAGAGUUCUUCAUUUGGAAUUUUCUUCUCUUUUAUUAAUUUUAUAUUUUUUUGUUUUAUUUUGAGUUUUCAUUUAUAAAAAGUAUGAGUAAUGGUAAAUUUUUAGAUUUCAGACAUUGAAUUUGUAAUACUCUAUUUUAAUUUUAGUUUUAAAUUAAUUUCUAUUAAUGGAUUUAUACUAUUUUUAAUUUUAAAUUGAAUAUUUGAUUUUGAUUGCUUUAAUUUUUUACUUUGUGUUUGGACAAUUAAAAUAGUAUUUUAAUCAUUAAUUAAUAUAAAAUUCAGGAUUAAAACUUAUAUUCAUAAAUACAAGAAAUUGAUUAAGAGUAUGAAAGAUUUUUAAAAUUAAUUAAAGAAUUUAAUAAAUUUUUAUUAAAUCAAAACAUUGGUUUAAUUAAAAUAUAACCUUAUAUAUUGAAAGAAUUAAAAUAAUUUUAGAAUUAAUUCUUUUAAGUAAUAGAAUACCCAUGAAUUAAUAAAAAUUAGAGAAAAUCCGAAUUAAUUAGAGUGUGAAUCUCAAAUCUCUGAAAUCACAUUUCUAUAUUUGAUUUUUAGUCCUAAAUAAUUGCUAAUUUCAGUUAAUUUUAAGUUAAUUUAUCAUUGUUUAAUUUAAUUUUUAAUUAAUAGUUUAUUUCUCUAGUCCAUAAUUAAUUAAUUUAAUUGUCAUCUUCUUAUUAAUUUUUAAUUAAUUUAAUACAUAUUUUAAUUUAAUUAGUUAAUUUUAGCACGAUCAGUUCAAACAAUUGUUAUAAUUAUAAUCUAGUACUUAAACACUAAUUUCUAUGAACGAUAUUUUAUUACUUGCGCAAUUUGUAUAUUUACGGGCAUUAUAAUAAAUUUUUAUUAAUUAAAAUUUUAUGUUUUUAUGUUAUUACCCUUUUAUAUAUUUUUCUAAAGUAAUGUCCAGAAUUUAAAAUUUAAAUUACAAGUUCUUGAUUGAAGAAAAAAAAAUUGCAUUGUUCCCUCUCAUUCAGUAAAUAUUACAAUUUUUUAAAAAAUAUAUUUUUUUAUGUAAUUACUAAUUCCUAAUUUUUACAUAGAGAUUUAGAGAUUUUAGAUUUUAUAUUAAGAAUUAAAAUACUAAAAGUUAUAUAUUUUUAGCUAAGAGAUUAUUUGUGUAAAUUUAAUUAAUAUUUAAAAUAAAUAAAUAAAUAACAGUUAAUAUGAUAUACACACUGAUUCAAUAUUAAAUUCAUUGUGGACAUAGAUGAGGUCAGUAGAACAUUCUUAAGGUCAUCUCCCUCUUUUAGAACCUUUGAACAUCUUGGACAUCCAUUAACGUAAAGCAUUGUGGACCAUGAACCAUAAUCCCCAACACCAAGAGAUGAAAGCAACGAUAUUUUUGAAACCAGACCAAAUUUGUACCUUUCAGAAGGCAGAAAAAAAUUCUCUUGCAACAUUGAUGAAUCCUGAUAAGAAGGAAUCAAAUUGCUGAAACUCUUCAAAGGUACAAGAAGACAAUCCAACAGUAGGCUUUACAUUGUCAAUGUCGUGGAAAGGAGAAUUGCCAUUUACUGAGCUAAAUUCACCUUGCCAAGGAAUUCCACCAAACCCAUCUUGGGCGCUUCAUUUCAAACUUACAAAUUCUAUGGAUUUACGGAUUAAAAAACUCGAAGCUAAAGCAUACAGGGCUUGGUGUUCUUUCAAUGGCAAAUAUUAGUCCAAAAACCAACUGUUCCUAAUUUUUUAUUUGCAUUGAGAAGGCCUCAUGGCUUGAUGUAGAGUAUGUUGUAUUGGUGAAGGUGUUGAUGGUACAGUUAUUUAUUAGAGUUUGUAGAUGUAAAAAUUUUUGUUAGAUAUGGGGGGAAGAAAAAAAAUUUCAGAUGUUUGACUAGUUAUUUAUUUUUGACUAAUUAUUUAUUUUUGAAUUAAUGGAGAAAUGAAUGGAGAAAGGACCGUGUAUUUAGAUGGACUGAAAAUGGAGGGGUUUUAAAUAUUCGAUUUUAAAAAUAUAGAGACUAUUUUAUUAAUUGUAAUAUAACUCAAGAAUUAAAGUGUAAUUUAUUUAAAAUAAAUAAAUAUCUUUUUUAGAAGAUUUAGUGCGGAAUCAUCUCAAGGAGUCCAUUUGGGUGACAAGUGAAUGUAGAUCUUUAUAUUCUAAGUGAAUGUAGGUCUUUGUAUUCUAAAUCAAGCAGGUCUAUCAAAUCGAACCAUAAAAAAUAAAACAAAUAUUUUAGAUUCUGUUUAUUUAAGAAAAUAAUUUAUAUUUGAAAAAUAUUUUUUUAUUAUUUAAUUUUAAUUUAAAAUUUAGUUUGUUUUAAGAAAAAUAUUUUUUAAAAAAUAUUUUUCAUAUUUAUUAGUGUUUGAAAUACGGGGAGAGAAAAUUUAAUCAAUGAAAAAAUUAUUUUUUAAUAAAAAAUUAUUUUUAAAAAAAUAAUUUAUAAUUUUAAAAAUUUCUCCCUUAUUUUCAUUAAGAAUUUUAUAUAUAAAAUUUUAAUAUAUUUUAUUUUUUAAAUAAAAAUUUAGCAAUAAAAAAUAAGUUAUCUCAUUUCACAUAAAAUAUUUUACUCAAAAAAUAUUUGUAAAAAAAUAUUUUUUAAAUAUAAAUUAUUUUCUAUAAACAAAUAAAUACUAAAAAAUAAAAUUUAUUAAUAAAUUUAUAUAUAAAAAUUUUAUAAGAAUAUCAAAAUAUGAAAAAUAAUUUUCUCUUUUAAAAAAAAUUAUUUUCUAUAAAGUAUUUUUUUUAUUAAAAAUAUAUUUUUCAAUAAUUAAAUUUUUUAAAUACUCCAAACGAUAAAAAAUAUAAAAAUUAUUUUCUUAAAAAAUAUUUUUUUUGCCAAACCAGCGGAGCAGUGAUGUAUGUCUUGCAAUUUAAGCCACUCUUCGUGAAGAAAAAAAAAAUUGAUAGAAGGGCAUUUAAUUUUACAUAAUCAAAAAGAAAAAUAUAAAAAUACUUUGUGAUUUAAUUUUUAAUUAAAAAAUUCUCUUAUUUUCAAAAAUUUAUAAUUUAUUUUAUAUUUUAAUAAUAUUUCGUGAUAUUUAUAUCAACAUUUUUAACUACGUUUAAAAAUUAUUGUUAUUUUACUAACUAUAUCAUAGCAUAUACUAUUUUAUAUAAAUUAAAUUAUAAAUUUAAAAAUAAAAAAUAAAUAAAAUUAUAAGAUUUUUUUUAAAAUACAGGAGUAAACUAUUAACAGAAUCAAAAUAAAUAGCCUUCAUAAAAGCCGAAAACCCCUAGAGAAGCCCAUAGCUUCAAUAGUGACUAGUGCGAGUUUCCAAAAGGGCCGCCAGAUCGAUUCAGCUUCAACUUAGCUAACGUAAGCUGCUAAACUCUAAGAAAGAUUGGGCUGCCCACUCCUUGACAAUUCGUCUGUAUUCCUCUUAUUCUAAAUAGCUACAUACCCUCACUGCUAUUGUUCUCACCAGCAUCAGUCUGUAAUCCUUUGCCUGCAUCAACCAAGAUUGAGGAAGCUGGACUCACUUGAUUACUGAAACUUUCGGCUGGAAGAACAGCUUCCUCACUAAGAUGCUCAAGGGCUUGAGAACCUGGAGGAGCAAGGAAGUCUAUGGCAUUUGGUUCCGAGUUCUACCAUAAUAAGCUUCAUUAAUAUUCAAAAUGAAAUAUUUUGGAGAAAAAAAAAACUAUAUUGUCUUAAAAAUGGAGAAAAGAAAACACAGAGAUAUUGGGAAUGUAUAAAAAUUGCUAUUAGUCAUGUACUAAAAAUACAUUCACGACAGAUGGGGCAUGUUGAAUUAUUCUCCAACCAUGCAUCUAUACAAUUUGAAUGAAAUAUGUGUUUGCACAUUGGAAAAAUUCUACAUAAAUCUCCCUUGAUAUAAUCUUCCAAACAUAUAGCACAAUCUUCAUAUUUCGAUUUCAUUUCUUCACCUCCAUAUUUUAUUGAUGGCAAUAAGCAAUCGAUAAUCUGAAUUGAUUUGUUCUUUUUAGUUGAAGUUUCAUCGAAUGUUUCACGCGAUUGAAAAUUAUGAUUAUAUAUAAAUCGAAAUCGAUUAAAUAUCCAGCCAAAUUCAAGGUCAUUACUAAGAUUAGCAUUUGGAGAUAGAUGUCGAAUAUGAUUUAAUAGCAUAUAAAUAAUGAAAAAUAUUAUUGAUAUUAUAAGAAUGGAUAAGAAGGCUAUGAAGAUUAGAAUAAGGAGUAUGAGAGCUGUUAGAGUGGCAAAAUUAUGAUGUGAGAAAUUGUUUGAAGAUAAGAACUCAGAAAUUGAAGGAGUCAUUUUCUUAAUUAAUUAAUAAUUAAUUAAUUAAUGAUAGGUUGAAUAUGGGAUGAUUCAUGAUUUGUAACUCAGAUAUUUAAAUGAUUAUAAUCACAAAUUUAGUAGUUAGGCAGUUGAAAUUAAGUUACAUCAGUUCUUUAGUUCGAAACUAAUAAAAAAAAACUAGAAAUUAGUUUUUUUUUAAAGAAAUUAGCAAAUCAUAUAUUAUAAAACCUGAAGAGUUAAUAUAACUGAAAAAAAAUUUAAAAAUACUAAUAAUACAGACUUGAAAAUGAUGUAUUUUAGAUGUUUUUUGUUUUAAUUAUUUUAUUAAUGAGUUGGAAUGAUAAUUUUGCAUAAAAACAAAACUUCAUUAUUUUCUUUAAAAAAAAAAAAUAGUUAAAAAAGUAAACAACUGGAAAGCGAAAUAAUUUGAUUUUCUGCGUAGAUACAAACAAAUUCUGUGUUUACAACUUGUUUUUGCUUGUCUGUUAAGUAAUUUAAUUUACUUGUCCCCAUUUUAUCAUGCAAGUUUUUAUAAAUUAUUUAUAUGCAAUGUUACCCUUUCCUAAACUUCUUUUUCUUCUAAAAUUCUUUAUAUGCCAUAAGCUUAUCUUAAUGAUACUCUCUUGUUCAGCUUAGCAUUUUAUGAAAUAGGUGGUUUCAGUUGUUGAUGCUGCUGAGCUUCUCAUUUUGUCUAUGGCCUUUUUUAGGGCCAAGGAUGUUUGCUUUUCUUCUUGUUGCUUUGCAACUCUACUUCAUCUGCCCCUAGCCCCAUCAAGUCUCUGGCUUCUAUGAUUUUGAAAUUUGUAUUCAAUCAUACUGUAGUACAAUCAAAAUAGAAUAAAUUGUGUAUAUGUUUCUGCACGAAUAAUGAAGAAAUUUGUAUAAUUUGCCUAAAACACAUAAUGGUGGAUAAUAUGCCACAGGUAAGCAACAAGAAAUCAUUAAUUGAGAUCAAAUGGUGUACAAUUUCCAGCCUCCUUGGUUACUAACUCAUCAAGCAGUUCAAAUGCAAACAACAGUUUUCUUUCUCUGCAUAUGUAUUCAACUAAAACAGCCCAGGAAUCAGGUUCUGGUUUAAACCCCAUUUCUGCUAAUCCAAACAAUGCUGUAACAGCAUCAUCUACCAUUGCAGCUUUACAAAGGCGAAUCAACAAUUCAUUUGAAGUUGCAUAAUGGGGUACAAAACCUCUACUCAGCAUCAAAUCCAACAGUUCACAAGUCUUCUGCAACUUACCUUUUUGGCACAAGAAAUUCAAAACGAUCCUGUAACUUCCUUUGUUCAGAUAAACACCCUCAUAAGCUAGUUUCUCCAGCAUCCCAAGGGCCUCAUUGAACCUGCCUUCUCUGCACAAACCUUUAAGUAACACAUUAAAAGUUACCACAUCAGCCUUGCACUUCAUCUCCCUCAUCUCUUUAAGCAACUCCAAGGCUCCAUCUACGCUUCCUGACUCACAGAAGCAAUUUAUCAAUGUAGUAUAGCCAACUGUAUCAGGUUGCAAACCAACGUUCUUCAUCUCAUCAAAAGCCUCUUUUGCCUCCUUCAACCUGCCCUCUUUGCAAAAUCCAUUCAUCAAGACUGAAUAAUUAAAGACAUUUGGGUUGCAACCAUUGCUUCUCAUGAACUCCAUUAUCUUCCUGGCCCUAUCAACCUUUCCCCCAUGACAAAAGCCACUAAUCAGAACAUUGUAAGUAAGAGCAUCAGGUAAUAUUUGAUCCUUUGACACCAUUUCCUCAAACAAUUUAAUUGCUUCUUCAAGCCUUCCACUUUCACAUAGCCCAUCCAUCAGAGUUGAGUAAGUAAUCAGAUUAGGAUAAGACCUCUUAGACUUCCUCAUCUCCUUCAUGACUUCAAACGCAGAUUCAAGAUCCCUGACUUUGCAAUGAUACUUGACCAAUAUGUUAAAAAUACAGGUAUUUGGUCUUAUUUUGAGAUACUCCUUGACAUGGAGUAGAAAUUUCUGGGCCAAAUCAAUCUGUUUCGCUUCAAUCAACAGAUUGAGACAUGUGCUGAUGGCUUUGAGAGAGGGCUUCUCACGAACAAUUGGCUGAAUUGCAUAGAACAUCUCAAGCACCCUCUCAUGCAGAGAAGACUUGGAGAAAUGCUUCAUGAGAUUAAGUAAUACAUUUUCAUGAAAUUUGCAUGUUUCAUAGGUCAUCUGGUGAAGCAUUGCAUCAACAGCCUGAAACUUCUUGGCCCGGGCAAGCUUAUGGAUUAUAGUUGAAUAGGUAGCAUGAUUGUGAUUAAAACCCUUUUGCUCUGCUACCAUGUUGAAAAUUUCCAAUGCACGUUGUGGGUCCCUCUCAUGUUUGAUCAAGUUUAUGGCAGAAUCGUGAGAUAUGAAUUUUGAUUUCCUUCGAGAUUCCACAAGGAUGUUUGAGGUUUCCGGUGGUGGAUCUGGCAUGGAAGGAGUUGCUUUUGAAAACUGAAGAGGAGAGAUCCAUGGAAAUGAAUAUGAUGGAGUUAAAGCAGAAGUGGUGAAUGAGCGAUGCUUAUGGCAAAAACUUCUCAUAGAUAUCAUGAAACCUGCUGCGCCUUUUAUAUAACUUCAUCAUCUGAAAUAGAUGAUAACCUGUUAGCCUUAUUUUCAAAUGUCCAUCAAAAAGUAUACUUCAACACCAACACAAGCAUUGAUUCAAUUCAUAAUCAUAUCUUAAGCAUACAGUGUGACCAAAGCAAAAACAACAUUUAUAGUGAUGGCCACAGCAAAGACAACAAUGCUAACCAAGGAGACGAGAAUGUUUAAAGUGACAUCAUUUAAGAAGUAAGCUCUACCAUAUGUGGCAUGUCUGUUUUAUGAAAAAUGCUGUUGGUUUUCGAAGUAAGAACACAAAGAAAUAAAGAUGAAAAGCAGCAUAAUUGGGGCUGCCACAAAAACUUGCAUAAAUUUCGUUGGUAAUAACAUGUAUUUAUACAUGAAAUCUUAAUAGAAAUUGCAUUAGAAGUGCAGAUAAUAAUACUGUAACUUUAAAUUUGAAAACAUAACCACUUGAUUGCUAAAAAAUCUAUAAUAACUAAUUCAUUUUCUAGGAUCUUUUAUUUCUUUAACCUAUUAUUGGCAUUAUUGCAACUAAAGCAUCAUCAACGACGCUCAUCCUUCACUUAGGAGCUACAAACGCUAAAAUAACUCCUCCUGAAGUUGAUCCCAUAUGGCUUUUGCUGAAGGCAGGUUCAUGAGGCUGCUGCAAAACCUUGCAUAAAUUUCACUGGUACUAAUAGGUAUUUAUACAUGGAACUAGCAGAAAAUGCAUUAGAAGUGCAGCCAAUAAUGUUGUAAAUUUAAAUUUAAAAACAUUACAACUUAAUUGCUAAAAAAUCUGUAAUAACUAAUUUAUUUUCUAGGAUCUAAUCUUUUAUUUCUUUGAACUACUCUUGGUGUUGUUGCAACUAAAACAUCAUCAAAAACAAAUGUACGAUGAUUAUUAUAACUGCAAUGUAAAUUUACUCAAUUGACCAUAUAUUUCUCUCUAAUCAACUUGGCUUCAUUUGUCUUUUUUCUCUUUGCAUCCUUUCUUCUUUCCCCCCAAUUUUGGCUAACCAGAUUUUUUUUUUUAAAGAAAAGAACAGCCACUCAUUCAAAAAGGCAACAGGUCACGCAAAGUCAAAGGGAUACCACUGACAACCAAAUCAAAUUACCAAGGUGGCCCAAACUUUUCUUUUUAAUCAAAAUUAGUUCCAAAAUUUUCCCCUCUUCUUGUGAAACAAAAUACAGAAUAGAAUACAACUGUCCAGUUCCAAAUCCUAGAAACAAGAGUAACUUGAACAUAAAAAGCAGUAAAGGAAGAUCCAAGCUAAAAUUUUGGCCAAAUCAAACAAAGGAGAAAGCCCCACUUCUUGGAAAGAGGGGAAUCAAAUAAAGAUUACAACAUUUACAUGACUUCUUUUAAAUUCGAAAUCACCAUAAAGUUGAAAAAAGGAAAAGCAGUAAGAGUUGAAAAUGAAGCAAAAUUAAAACUCUAUGCCACAUCUAUGCUCCAAAAGAAGAAAGAAACCCAAUUUAGGAUAGAUUAGCUUUGAACACAAAACGAAAGAAAAGACAUUUCUACAUUUUCUUCACAUUGCAACAUAAAUUGCAAGCCAUAUUUCUAAAACAUCAAAAAUUUAAUUUCUGAAAUUUUGAAAUAUUAAUCUCUUCGUAUGAAAAAUAAUACAAAACGACAAGAGAGAUUUUCACCUAAAUUUCUUCAUAUUGCCACCAAAAUUCCUUAGUGAAAAUGAAUAUCAAUCCCGUAACAAAGCCUAAAACGAAUAAGAACAAACUCAAUCACAAACCCAUUUGGCAAAAACCCAAUUCAGAUAAGAGGAAAACUACAACAAACCAGAUAAGAAGAAAUUUUACCUAGCAAGAGAAAGAGUUGAGCGUUUAGCUUACAGAGACGAUGCUUGGUAAUUGGUGCUUUCUAAGUAGUAAUUAGAAGCAUAUGUAACUAAUAACCCAAGAUCAAGAGAAGGAAAAGGAAGCCCAAGAGACUGGAGCAGUGAUGAGUGAUGAGAAUCUACAGGCGGGACCGCCGGAGAGCCGAGAAAGACAGAGGCAAUCGAGAUUUCUAGCUUUUUGGAGGGCUACUUUUAGCAUUUCUAGUACAGCCCAACCAGGAAGCCCACUCUUAAGAUUACUUGGCCCAAUCUUUAAUACAACUGAGGUAACCAAGGCCCUUUAUUUUAAAUAAUAACAAGAUUUAAAAUAAUAAUGAUCAUAAUUAUAAUCAUAAAGCCUAUACCUGGAAAGUGGAAAAUUUCCAUUUUAUGCUACAAACAGAAAAGAAAUUAAUUAAUUAAUUUUAUUUUCCAUAGUAAAAUAAUUAUCUAGAUUGAAAGAAUAUAGUACUUUUAUUAAAGAUUAAACUUAUUUCGAACCACAUACCGAUUAUUUCGAUUUAAAUAAAAUUUUGAAUCAAAUUUAAAUUUUGGUUUGAGUUUUUUUUUUUUUUACGACCGAAAUUAUAUUUUGUGAUUAAAAUUUCAAAUUUAAAAUGCCUCUCUAUUUCUAUAAAAGGACUAGAGAUUACUUAUCUACUCUUCCUCCAUCAAUCUUGAGAAUUCUACCAUUUCCUUUAGCAAAAAUACACCUUGAAAAGUUAGGAGAGACAUUGCUAAGUUACAUAUUUUCAGCAUUAAAGGAUAAUAUUAUUUCUUAGGCUUGUAUUCUACCAUCCCCAAAUUAAGAAAGCAAGAUUUUUUUUUGUUAAUUAGGAACACGAUUGAAAAUAAAACUGCUGGCGGUAGAGAAAAACUUUUAUUUCAAUAUUGUGAAAUAGUUAUUAUUCAAGUAGUUACUCAAAUAAUUCCGAUGUAUAUGAUGAGUUCUGAUGAUCGUUGAACCUCUAGCAUUCGGGCUGAGGUGGAGUUUUGGAGGAGGAGACAGGUCUAAAGCCCAUUAGAGGCCACCAAUCAGGUCGACCCAUGAAUACACUAUCCAAUCCGUGAUUACAGCAAAUUGGGCUGACUAAGAGUCCAGACCUGUUUGAAGGGAGUCUAACUCGUUUGAUGUGACAGGGAGAAGGAGAACAAGUCCAACUAUGGCACUACCCUAUUAACACGCGCGUUGGAGGGAAAUUAAAUAGUUGCUUGACGAUAAUGAAAAAGCAAGUACGCCCAUACGUAACACUGUUAUGCGUCAAUAAAUGGCAAGAAAAAAAUGAAUAAAAGAUGGAACGUAACUUCUCAGAUUAAACUUACACACACUCAAAAAACUAUAUUUUCUUUGGACUGGAUUUCAGAAUAUUAAGUUCUAUUCAUAUCAAAACAUUUCUUUGCAAAGAUAAAAAUAAAAUAAUUGCUCAAUUUUCAGAGUUAAAAAGAUAAGAAAAGAAAAUUUUAUUUAAAUUAUUUGGAAUAAGUUAUAUGAUCCAAAAUGAAAAGGAAUUUAAGUUUUAAUGAUUUGCGGGAUUUUAACAAAAUACUUCUAUAUAAAUAAACAUGGAAAAUUAUGUUAAAAUAUAUAUAUUUUUUUUCACUCUAGCUCCAUGGAAGCUUGUUUCUCUAGGAUGAUGGUAUAUUAUGGAAGAGAGGAGUGCUAGAGAAAGGAGUUGCUAGCAUACUAGUAAUGUAAAUUCUAUUUACAUCAUAAAUAAUUGUUGGAUCCUCAAGUCUUAUGCUUACCCCUCUUGUGUAAAGUUAACAACAAUCCAUCUAUCCCUUGGUGGCUCUAAAUUGUGGAAUUUACCAAUAUUCAAGUAAAUAACAUCUUAUCCAUCUCUAUUUGUAUAUUUACCAGUAAAAAUAAGUUAGUAUGGCAGCAGAAUUAAUAAAAAAUAUAUAUUAUUAAGUUAGAAUAUUAAUUACUCAACGGUUAAAUUUAAGUUUCAUAUAAAAUAAUGAACUAGUAUGAUUAAAACCUUUUACGGAAUAAUAAUGCAAUAUUUUUUUUAAAAAAGAACUAAAAUCCAAAGUUACCCAGAAAUUUAAGGAAAAGAAAUUUCAUCCUUCUUUGGAAAUCGAUGAAGGAAAGCUAAAUAGGACAUUCCUUCCCAUCCCAAAAGAAUGCAAGUUUUAUGGAUAAGUGGAGUAAUGCAAACAUUUUUUUUUCCAGGGACAUGGAGAUUUGGAUCUAACUCUCAUUUCAAAAUUAGAUCUAGCAUACUCUCAAAUAUGCACAUGGAAUAUUUUUGUGAACUCAUAAAAUUCACCUCCUCGUCUAUAUUUUUAUAUAUUUUAUUGUAUUAUAUUAAAAAAUAAUAAUUUCCAAUGAAAUUAGUGAUAAAUUAUAUGUAAAUGGCUUAUAUUGCUAAUUUCAUUGCAGUAACUCUAUUUUCUGGUAAUAUUUCUUAAGGCAAAACAUGUAUGAGAAUUUUCAUUCAUUUGCUUAAAACAAAAAAUUUCUAAGCACAUUGAUUGUCAUAUAAUUAAAAUUAAAUACACUUUUCAGAAUUUUCAUUCAUUUGAUUAAAAUUUUUUUCUAAUUGUCAUAUAAUUAAAAUGAAACAAUUUUUUAUAUUUUUGAAAUUUCUUUAUUGUACUUUUUUUAUAUUUUUGCUUGGAGAGGGUUUAUUGACUUCACUGAUUCCGACGAAACUGAUCUCUGUUACGUUUUCUUUUUUUUAUAGAGUUUGUUUGGACUUUAAUAAUGGCUUAUUCACCUAUAUUUUUAACUUUAUGAGCCUUUUUAAUGUAAAUAUAUUUGCAUGGUUAAAAAAUAUAUUUUUUAUAUAAAAUUUCAUUUGUAUUUUAUCUCUUCGUAAUUAGAAAAUGCAUAUGCAUUUUGUUCACCUGCUUUUUUUUUUCAAUUAUUACAAUUUUUUAAUAUUAUAAGUAAAUCAUAUUCUGCAUAAAAAUUAUAUACUUAAUACAACUUUUUAUUUUAUUAUUUAUAUAAUAUAUCUUUUAAUCUAUUUGUAAUAAAAAUAAUUAUCAUUUAAUUCAAUAAAAAAAUAAAAAAUUUAUUUUUUAAUUUUAAAAACAUUUUUUACCGAUUUUAUUUUAUUUUUUUGAACUUAAAAUAAAUUCAACCGAAACAAACCAAAUUAUUCUGCCUUUAAAAAAAAAAAAAUCAAAACUGAAACGGACACGAACCAAAAUGGACGCCACCUGAUCCUCAUUUUUCAGGUACUGAUCAGUGGUUCAUUGGUUUGGACCCGAAACAGGGCAGGCAGCAAGUUCCAGUAAGGAUUUCGGACCACAAAGAAACCAGACAAACGUGGCACGCGUUUUGCGAAGACACGGAGCUUAAGAAGCCAAAUAUUAGAAAAGAAAGGCGGCGUUGGAUAACGGCGGUUAAGACGGUGAGUCUGGCUUUUCGUGUUGCACGAGGCGUGCCGCCGUCUGUUUCCUUGUCUGUUUUGUUGGUUACCGGGAACGGUAAUUUAGGAUGACGGCAUCUCCCAAACACCAACAAUUUGUCGUCAUUCUCCGUCCUCUAGCCGCGUGGCCAGGAUUACCGAAUCCGCAUGGAAGUUGCUGAUCUCAGUUUCGCUAUUUCAGCGUUGAAGUGGUCAAGAUGGAAGAUCUAACGGCUAGAAGAGAAAGCAUAUAGGUUUAAAAAUGUGAAUGGGUGCAUUCGAUAAUUGCUCAAAUAUGUAAUAAUUGAAGAGCACUUGGUAAGCGGCAGGCGGGGCGGCGGGGGAAGUGUUUUUAUAGUAAAGAGGAUAGUCAAAGGUCUCGUUGACUGAGCCGAACAUUUGAAUAACCUCAAACAGCGAUUGAGGAGCGCCUGCACUGACACGCUUUUCUACACGUGUAGGCUUUUUUUUAAUUAACAAAAUUUUAAAAUUAUUACAAUUGCAUAAAAUAUUGAAAUUGGCAAUGGAUAUUCUUAUCAAUAUGUCAGUUUUAAUUGAAUAAAACAUUUUAUUUGUUAAAUUCAUCUACUUAUAUCUAUUAAAAUCCCAUUUUUACUUUUUUAAGUUGCGCUGGUGGCAUUAGAUUUCAAUUCUGAUUAUAUGUCUUCAUGGGUAUUUAAUUUGAUUAAACUAUAUCUGUUUAAAAUCAGUAAAUUUUAUAAUAAUUUAAUUUAUUUAAAAUUCAAAUAUUUAUUUCCUUUUUAACUUAAUAUUAUUUCAUUGUAAAAAAUAAAAAUCAUAUAUAAUGCGCACAAGUUCAUUAAAUUUUUUUUUAGUGCAAAUGAAGCCCAUAAGUGUUUCAUGAUUGUUUUCAUAAAAUAAUAAUUUUAUUGAUACUUGAAAAUAAAAUUUUAAUUUAAUGAAAAAAAACUUAAUGUUAUUGAAUCCUUUAUUUAAAAUAAAAAUAAUUACUUUAUUUAAUCUAUUAUAAUUUCAUUUUAAAAUGUAAAUAAAUUAUAUAAAAUUUCAUUUAAAUUCUUUUUUUUUUUUUGCAAAAAUGCAAAUGAAGCAUAAAAAUGAUUCAUUAUUAUUUUAAUAAAUAAGAUUUUUAUUUUAUUUAUUAAACAUAAAUUGGUGAUUUGAAAGUAUAAUUCCUAUUCAAUUACUUCAAUUUACUAUUAUAUUUUUAGUUUUUUAUUCAACCAUUUAAAUACAUGUGUACCAUGAAUAAAACAUCAUUUUUUAUCAAGGAUACGAUGAACAUUUUUUAAAAUAAAAUUCUCAUUUUUAUUUAUAUACAAAAAUGAAAAAAUGAAAAAUAUAUUCAUUAAUAAUAAAAAUGAAUUUGUCUCCUUACCAUAACGAUGAGAUUAAUUAGUCUGUUAAUGGUGGUUAAGGAAUGCCUUCAUUUGCAAAGUAUCGAGUUACGACAAGCACUCGGUAAAAGUUAAAAAAAAAAAAAACAGCUGUAAAAAAAUGAGAGCUUAUUCUGGUAUAAAACCUACGUGUCAAAAUCUGAUUAGACAGUGAACUUACUCGAGUGGAUCGUGCAAGAGAAGCCACGUUUCCUAUCUUUGAAUGUACACACAGAUGCACACAGCACAAACCCACCCCAAAAGGAGCGUAGCUUUAACCUUCAAACCCCACCUUUCUCUCUCCUCCUCUCUAUAAAAACCAACGCGCCUCCUGCCUCACCGUAACUCAACCUGUCUUGCAUUCUCUUCUCUCUCUUUCCGCGAAGAUCUGAAACGGCUUUCAGCAACAAUGGCUCCCAAAGACAGAUCGACCAGUAGCCCUACCCCCAGCUCCAACGCCAAGGAGAUCCGCUACAGGGGGGUUAGGAAGCGCCCUUGGGGUCGUUACGCCGCCGAGAUCCGUGACCCCGGCAAGAAAACCCGUGUCUGGCUUGGUACUUUCGACACUGCUGAAGAGGCUGCGCGUGCUUACGAUGCUGCUGCUCGUGAGUUCCGCGGCUCUAAGGCCAAGACUAAUUUUCCUUCGGUUGCCGAACUUAACACCGCUGCCGGCGCCGCACCUCUUGUCACCGUCGCUCGCAGCCCAAGCCAAAGCAGCACCGUCGAGUCUUCCUCUCCUCCGCCUCCACGCCCUGCUUCUCCUCCACCUCCUCUCGACCUCACUCUGAACAUCCCCAACCAUCACCGCCAAAGCCACUUCACCAACAGUGUUGGCUUUCCUGGGGGCGCGUGGAUUUCACUCGCGGCGGUUUCUCGCCCGGUUUUCUUUUUCGACGCGUUUGCCCAGGGAGAGAAUAAAACUCGUACUAACCCUAACACGUGCAGAUUUGAUCGGUCGGCGGCGAUAAUGAACGGCGGUGUUCAGAGUGAUUCAGAUUCUUCAUCUGUUGUUGAUUAUGACCACGAUCCGAGUCCUUAUAACAAGCGAAUAUCACUUGAUCUCGAUCUUAACCUUCCUCCGGCUGAAGUUGCCUGAUUUUGAGGAGAUCCGAUUUUUGGGAAGUCGUUUUGGGCUUCAGUGUGUGUCGUUUUUUUAAAAGAGAUUUUAUUUUAACUCAAUUUCCAGUCGAGACAGGAGGAAAAUGAGAGGAAAUUAGAGCUAAAGGAAAGAAGCUGACGUAUCUUUUUUUUUUUUGAAUUAUGUACAUAAAGAGAGAUAACCCAAGCAAAAGCAUAUAUCCUUGUUUUUUGGCAACUGAGAAAUCAUGAAUUUCUCCGAUGUUGUUUCUACUGUUAUUAUUUUUAGUAAUAAAUAUAAAUAUUUCCAUCUCUAAUCAAAACAAUUUCUUUUUCUUGAUCUCUAUUUUCUUUUGUUUUUGGAUUUUGUUUUCAAUCCAUGUUAUGAUUUUGGUUGCCGAGAAAAUCAGUGCGAAAGUCGAUUGUGGGGAUGUCCUACUCAUGCCGUGCGAAACGGGUGUGGCAUAUGUUCCCAUAUGAGAAACAGAAACAAUAGAGCCAAGAAUCAGAAGAAUUUUCCUACAUUUUCCCAGUGACCAAACAGAAUCCGUAGUUCCAAUAUUCCAAAUUUGUUUUCACUUGCUUGGAUUUUGGCUGCGUCUUAUUUGCUCAAGUGGCGUACAGGUGUCAAGGAGACAUGUCGCCGGCGUUGAGUCGGUGGUUUGAUUUUGAUGUGUGGUUCCUUAGAAUGAGCAGCGUAGGCUAAUCGAUAGCAUCCGCUGACACGUGGACCCCGUCCACCGUACGAAAAGCCGCACCUAAUUUAAUCAUUAUUUGAAAAUUUAAAAUAAUAAUCAAAGGAUUUAUGAAAAAGGAAGAAAAGAGCUUGCGUUAAUUAAGAUAAACAAAAACAGCAACAGCGGGCGGCCUCAUGAUGAGAAGCAUGGGGUGUACGCUGGUCAUCAAAACUCUCCCCGUGAUUCGCAUACUCGCUUGUCCUUUUCUGGCCAGAUCUCUAAAAUGUUCGUAAUCAGACGCCUGGACAAGGACUCAUAGAUAGGGCCCAGAGAUACGCGUUACGUGUAGGUUGUUUAAUAUUUUUUGGAGGUUUAGAUUAUUACAGGCGGCACCGACGGCGAUUUGAGUGAGUGUGAGAAAGAGACCGAAUCAGUGCGGCAUGAAUGGGUCCACGUAGUGUGGGGCCCGGUCGAGUAAUUCCGUGUUGACGAGGAACAUGUCGGGAUUCGGGUUGUCGUCACGUGCACUUCUACCGUCCGAUAAAAGCUUUAAUUAUAGCUUUUGGGUUCUGUUUUCAGUUAUCAUAUUUCUUUUGCAUUUUAGCCCCUCCUGCCUUCUUAUUUUCAAAAUGUCUCCCAUCAGAUUUUAUUUUUUCGUUUAUAUAUUAUUCCUUUUGCAUAUUAUAGUACGAAGCACAGAUAGCAUCAAAAUAAGUUGCCUUUCUUGUUUUUUAUACUUUAAUAGGAUUGAUAUAAUUAUAAAACAAUAAAUUAAUCUCAUAACAUUAAAAUGGCAGUAUUCAAGCUUGGAUGAAUGUGGAACUUCACGAAACCUCAUAUUUGUUGGGGUAGAAAUGAUUUAAAUUAAAGAAGAAGGUCUUAAUUGAAAAUUUAAUUUAAAAAAUGAGAGGCGAACUAAUCUUUUCUUCUUUUUUAUAAGGAGACAAGAGUGGUCCACGUGUGAAACAGUCUUGUAAGAGGAGGCGCGGCGGCCGCUUUUGUGGGCUCCCACUCCCUACUCCAAUUUGUCCUCUGGAAACCAUUUGUCAAAGAUUUCUUCUCUCGUCACAUGAGCUAGGUAAUAUGAUAUCGACAACCAUCCAAUCAACGGUUGCAACGUGGAAAACAUCACGUGGAAGAAUGUACGAGUGCGGAGCGAGAAGCGAGGUGUGUGUGUGGUGAUAUGUCAGUGGGUAACAGACGGUUGAAGCCGGCGCGUCGACGGUGGAGGGAUUUAAUAAUGGGACCUGCUGGUAGGGGAAGGGCAGUGUAGUUGGGCGACACGUGGAACGCUUAAAAUAAGGAAAGUGAGGGUUUUAAAAGCAACCGCCAAAAAGGCUUGGGCGGCUGCUUGUGUUUGUGUGAGAGUGCCUUUAACGCCGGUGUUUGUUGGGCUGCUAGGUGACCUUACCUUCUUUUUAUGAUUUUUCUUUAAAUAUUUUUAGAAUUAUUAUUCAGAAAAAAUAUAAAGGCACCAGAAUAUUACAUAUAAUAUCAUAUAUUAUUAAUAAAUAAUAAUAAUUUUUAAAUAUUAUUAAAAAUAUUAAUAUAAAAAAUAAUAUAAUUAUUAAUCAACAUUUAUUUUAAAGAAUAAAAUAAAAAAAUAUUUGCAUUUUUAUUUUAGGAUCAACAAUUUAAUUUAAAAAAAAAGAAACAAUAUCUCGUAAAUUGAUUUUAUAUUAAUAUUUUUUCAUAAUAUCUAAAAAUUAUUGAUGUUUAUGAACGAUGCAAUACUGCACAUUAUUAUUUUAAAAUAAAUUAAACUACAUAAUGAGUAAAUUACAUAGUACUGUUUUAUAUUUUUUUAAUUAUUAAAUUUUUAACUUUUUUUUUAAAUUUACUGAUUUAUUUUUAUUUUAAAAUUAUUAAAUUCAAAUAUAUUUAUAUUUUAGAAGUUAAAUUAUCUAAAAAAUAUUAAUCAAUUUAUUUUAGUGUGAGUUAAAUAAACUAAAUAAUAUAAAUAUUUAAAAUUUAAAAUUUAAAAUUUUAAGUAAUAUAUAUAAUUAAAAUUAUAUUAAUUAAAUAAUAUAAAAAAAGUUGAUAUGACUAAUGUUUUCUUUACAAAAUGAUUGAAAGACAUUUUAAUUAAGUAAUUUUUUAAAUAAGAGCAAAUUAAUAAAUUAUUUAAAAAUUUUAGUUAUUGUAAAAUAGAUUUAUUGAGGCAGCCAUAUUUAUAAUAUGUUAUAAAAAUAGAUGAAAUAAAAUAAAAAUUUAAAUCUAGAUGCUUUGUGAAGUAGUUAUUGCUUUAGAUUAAAUUUGCUUCAUUCGCUUUGGAUACUAUCUGAGCUUGGGGCAGUUCCAUUUGUGUUGAAAUUCAGAAUUAGCUAGUCGUUUUGUCUGUAUAUAGAUGGAUUAUUUGUUAUUUUGUUAAAAAUUGUAUUUUCAUAUUUAUUUUGUAUUUAUAUUUUUAAAUUAUUAUAUACCCUGUUUAAGAUAAAAAAUUUUUUAUAAAAAUUUAAUUUAAUUGAAUUCAUUUUUUAUGAAAUUUUUAUUUGAAAUAAAAAUAUUUAAAAUUUUUUAAUUUAAAAAAUUUUCAUUAUUAUUGAUUAUUUAUUUUUUUUUAAUAAAAUCAUUCAUGUUAAGACUAAAGAUAAAAUUUUAUUUAUUUAAAAUUGAUUAUUAUUGAUUGGCUUCUUUUUACAAAAUAACUGAAUUAAAUGGGAAAUUGAACUUUUAUGGAAAGCGCAUAUUCGUAUUAAAAUGAAUCAAGGGAAUAUUAAAUUUAAUAACUACCUCUAGGUUUUAUUUUUAAUAUAUAAAUUUAAUAUUGUUUUAUUUUUUUAAUUAUUUUAAAAUUAUUAUUCACUUUAUAUCUUUAAAUUAUAAUAACAUACAUAAAAUGAAUAUUAUAAUUUUAUUUUACUUUCAACAAUCUUUUAAAAUAUUUAUUAAUAUUUAAUAAAAUUUAAUAUAUUUAAAAUAAAUACAAUUAAAAAAUUAAUAAAAAUUUAUAUUUUUUAAUAUGUAUAAAAAAAUAAAAUAAAUAAAAAUUAUGAUUGAAGUAACUAUUAAAUUUAUAUUAUCUAUUCGUGUCAUACUUUUUAUCCACUUUAUAUUUUUUAUAUAUUAAAAAUUAUAAAAUUUUUUAUUAACUUUUUAAUUAUAUCUCUCAUAAACAUAUUAAAUUUUAUUAAAUAUCAAAAAGAUAUUUUAAAAAGUUUUUUAAAAAUAAAAUAAAAUAAAAUGAAAUUAUAAUAAUUAAUUUAUGUAUUAUUAUAAUUUAAUAAAGAAAAAUAGAUAAUAAUUUUAAGUAGGUCAAUGGGAGCUCUAACUAAGAUUAAGUAGGUCAAAUCAAGUCUCUUGCAGCUAACAGGGAAGAAGGCAACAGAGUUUCAGGAUCAAUCUAUAACUGUGGUGCAACUUAAAGACUCAAAUAAGCAAGAAGAACUCCCUAUUUGCCACAACCCAACAUAUGAGCAAGGUAUUAAGAGUAUUCAGAUAAUCUAGUCUUUAUCUUGCAAUACCCCUUCCCUCUUAAACAACUCCUGAGCCUUUUUGAGCCACAACCUUAAACCCUCCAAUGGUUUGGCAUGCAUGCAACUACCUUAAUAGGUCAUAGACUAAUCCUUCUCAUUUUAAGCUUCACCUGCAAACAAAAGGAGAGAAAGAACAAAAGCUAAAAUAUUCACAACUUAGCCCUGGAGGCAGAAAAGGGAAAACUCAUUCUCCAAAGCUGGGGAAAGAGUUUUCAAAGCAUGCAAGCCUGAAAAAAACAUGCAUAAACUAAAACUCUGUCGCCUAGAAGAAGAAACAAAGAUCAAGAUGUUUAUCUCUUCUAGUCAUUUUAACUUAGAUCCUAUUAUGUGUACAAAGGUAUUAGCUUUAUCUAUAUAAUUUUAAUUUAAAUGAAAAUCUAAAUAGACUUAACAAGUGAUUAUGAAAUCAUCUUAAUUUUUACAUUUAUUUUCUAUUAACUCUUUUUUAUAGCAAUAUUAAUAAUUUUAUUUUACUUUUAUUUUAAAAAUCAAUUGUAACGUGCUAUUUUUGUAUAAAGUUUAUAAUAAUCAAAAUUGCAUAACCCAGUGCUCAACUUAUUAGGAUUUUUAUUAAUAGGUUAAACGAGAUUUUUAUCUCUUUUUAAAAAUAAAAAAUAAUACACUUGUUAGUUUUUUCUUUCUAAUUGAUAUUUUCUAAAAAUAAAUUUAAUAAAAAUAUGUAACACAAAGUAAUAAUAGAAUUAUAAUAACAAUAAUUAUUAAAGAUGAUCAUUUUUUUUAUUAAAAUGAUCAAGCAUAAGAUAUUAUCAAAUAUAAACAAAUUAUAAAGCAUUUACCAAAUUUUAAUAAUAGAAAAAGCAUUUUCAAAUAAACUUUUUUUUAAAAUUAUAAAUAGUUGAAUAUUAUAUUAAUUUGGAAUAAGAAUAAUAUAACUUAUAACAGAUUCAAACACUUUUUUCUUUAAUUAAUUUUUAUAGUAAAUUAAAUUUGACUAAAUUUAAUAUUAUAUUAGAAUUUUUCCUUUAGUAAAUAUGUUGGCUCUAGUAUAAUUUUUUACUAAUAUUAAAUAUCCUGUAAAUAUAUCAAGUUUAAUUUUGGGUGUUACCAUAUAUAUUAAUUAUAAUAUAUUGUAUUUAAUAAUUAAUUUUAACAUAAUUAAUAAUUUAUAAUAUAUAUAAAAAUGAGAAAGAUAAUAAUAGAAUUUUCUAUAUUAUUGUUAAGUACGCAUAUAAUUUACCAUAUUACAGAUUAUAACGCUACUCUAUCCUAAGUUCAUCUCAAUUUUAAUUUUUAAUAUUAUAAAUAAUAUAAUCAAAAUUUAAUAAUUGUAAUUUAUAUGUUUGUUAAAAUAAUAUUAAGAUGAAUACAAAUUUUAUACAAACUCAAACAUUUAAUACAAUUUAAUUACUAAUUUAUUUAAUUGAAAAUAAAAGCUAUACAAUCAAUAUAUAAAAUUAUUAAAUUAAAUAUUAAAAAUUACGAUAAUAAAUAACAAAAUACGAUAAUAAUAUGAAACUGAUAUUUCUGUUAGAUGAAUUCGUCGUAAUAUUACUCUAACAGCUCAUACUUCGAUUAGAAAAUUUAUCAGGUAUAAUCGUCUUUUUAUUUGGUAUGAUAUCCCUCUAUAUUUAAUAAAAUUUUAUUAAUAUAAUCAUAUAAUUUUACUUUUAAAAAAAUAAUAGUAUAUGAAUUAUAACAAUAAAUAAUUAAAUUUAAUUAAUUAUUUAAAAAUAUAUUAUAAUAUUAUAUAAAAUAAAAAUAUAUGUGUAAGAGUUAAUCACAAGUAUAUACAUAUAAACAAUAAACAAUGCAAUGAUUUUUCUUUCUAAGAUAGAUUAUUCAUUAAAAUUGAAUUUUGAGCUUAAUUCAAUAAAUUGAUUUGAUUUAAUUCGUUGAAUUUUUUAAUAAAUUUUUUAUUUUAAUAUUUUAAAAUUUAAUUAAAAUAUUUUAAUUUAAUUAUAAUUUAAUCUAUUUAUAUUAUAAAAAUAAUAUAUUAUUAUCAUAAAUCUGUUUGGUUUAAUUUUUUUUUUAAUUAAAAUCAAAAUAGACCUAAAUAAAUAAAAUAUUGAAUCAAAUUUUAAAAUUAAUUCAAUUUAGUUAAUUUUUUUAAUUUAAUUUGAUUUAAUUUUUAUUCAAAUCAAUUUGAUUUAUUUUUUAUAAAUAUUAAAAUUUUAAUUUUAAAUUUAUUUAAUUUGAUUUAAUUUUAAAUCUAACCAAAUAUUGCUUCAUAUUGAACAUUUAAAAAUCACUAGAUCUUCAUAUUUAUUUAAUUAAAUUCCUCUUAAAACUAUUUAGGAUUGACAAACUAAACAUUUAAAAUUUAAAAAUACAAAAUAAUAAAAUCUCUUAUAUCUAUAAAAUUUUUUAAUUUAAAUUUAUUUAUAUUCAUAUAUUACCAAAUCCUCCUCGUCUAUAAAGUUAGCAUUAAUAAUAAUUAGCUGUUUACUUACAAAAUUUUUUAAAAAGUUUUUUUAUAUAAUUAAAUAUAUAUGUAACGUUAGAUUUCCAUUAUGCUUAAUGAUUAAUUAAUUAAUUAUUUUUAAUUUAAUAUUUCAUAUUUUCUAUAAUUGUAUAAUAUACAAUGGUGUAAGGAAAAAAAUACUGAGAUAAAAAUUUUGAUAAUUUUUAUUAUAAUAAUGAAAGACUAAAAUUAAUUAGCUAUUGAUAACUCAACAAUGGUUAAUUAUGAUUAAAAGCAAAAUAUAGUAAUAUUAGUUAAUUUAUUAUUAUGAUAAUGAAAAAUAAAAUUUAUUUAGUUAAUGAAAUAAAAAAUUAUAAAAAAAUCAAACUAAAAAAAUGUAAAAGAAUAUACAUUACAGUCGGGUACAAAAUUAACCAGUACUAAAAGCUUAGAUCCUUAGUGUAUUUGCAUCUAACUGAAGUCUGGCACUCUCUAGCCAAUGUCCAAGUUAGCAAAAGGCAGUCGUUUUCGCCACCAGUAUGUCUAAAUUGGCUGGAGAAUGUGAUGAUAACGGCGCAGGUUCGAUUCCGCAAAGACUGUUUGGAGAUGGUGAGAAGAGAGGCAAUGCAAUUGCUCAUACUCUUGCUAAGUUGGGGGCAUUGGAGGAUUUGGACUGUGUUUGGGUUGAGGAGGUUACCGGCUCUAUUGCAAUUUUUUUUUUUAUGAAUUUUUUUUUCAGAUGAUGCAUAAUUGUGUCAUUUUUAGAGAAAUAAAAAUUUAUUUUUUAUUUUGGGAGCUUAUUUAGUUAAGCCAAAAACAGGUUCACACGUAUGAUAUAUUGCCAACGUUGUGUGGCAUUCUUGGAAUCCAAUACCAAUGUACCCUCCAUCUAAUCCAAAAUCCAACCACAUCUCCUUCUCUCCUUAUCUUACCAAACCCAAAACCAAAAUCAAAACCCUGCAACAACAUCUCAACCCAAAGCUUGAGUUUCUACCUUACAACAGAGGAGCUGAUACCGAAUCAAGAAAAAAGGAGACAUGGGUCGGAUUUUUGUGGUGGAGUUAGAGGGCAGGUCUUACAGAUGCAAGUAUUGUGGUACCCACUUUGCCCUUCCUGUUGAUCUCGUCUCAAGGGUAAAUCCCUUUAGUUAUUUUCAAGUUUUUUCUUUAUAUCAUUGUGUUUUUUGUUCCUUAAGCAUUUGGGAUAUGCAAGACAUGAUCUGUUUGGUACAAAUUCUGUAUCUUUGCAAGUGCUGGAGGAGCUUAAUGGAGCACUACGUAUUUUGGUGGCAACUGUUUGACAUAGAACUCUGUGUUUGUGCGGAUAAAGAUUAGAUGAUUGGUUUUAAUUUGGUUUCUAAAUUACUUAACAGUCUCUUGCUUUGAUUUGUACAGUCUUUUCAUUGCCGUCGAGGAAAGGCAUACCUCUUCAAUAAUGUGUGAGUUACUUGCAAUUCAUUCAUGGACUGAUUAGUCUCUUAGCUUGUUAAUGCCUUCAUUAAGCUCAUACGACUUGUAGAUUUCUGGUACUAUUUAUUAGUCAAAUUCUGUCUUUGAUUCUAAAAGAGUUGCUCUUUUUUUGGGUCUAUAUUGUCUACAAAGCAUACAAAUUUCAAGUUGUUAACAGUGAAAGUAUUGCUGCACUUAUUAUAAUUGAUCAUGUUUGACUGGAAAAAUGACUAGCAUAUGCUUCAGUUGCAGGCAUUUUAUUGUUCGUUUUCUUUAACAUUCUGAGUUCUGUCCUGUAGAAUGUGAUCCUCCUUGGCUGAGUUUUGAGCUUAUGUAGUUUGGCAAAAGAAAAUAUGCAACUUGGGAAUUUGAGGUGGCACAAUUUUGUAUAGGUUAUUAUAUUAGCUGAAUAACCUCCGGCGUUGGAGCUUAUCUUUGUGAUGCACAUGGAUUUUUAUUAUGUAAACGGACUUCCUAUAUCUCUUCUUUUAAGUAUUUGUCUAGGAAAAAACUAACAGUUCUUCAAUUGCAAAAGGUGGCACUUAUAGCUUUAUUUCUUCAUGGAGUCAUAGAUUUCCAGAAGCACUGACAGUGGGUAGACGCUCCAACACAUUAUGUGGAGAAAUUAGGAGAAAGGCACCUCAGAUGAACAGUAGCAGAAACUUCUUGAAUUUAAAAUCAAUGUAAAUGAAGAAUUGAAAUUUGGAAACUUGAAAAUGGGUGGGAAAAGGACUAUGUUGAUAAUAAAUUCCUCAACAUCCUCAUUUUUCAGAUGACAAUGUCAACUUUGCAUUAUUGCAAAUUCUACCUUUCCCUCAUCUCAAAUAUUCUGAAGCAAGCACAAUGGAACAGAACAAAAAUCGAUAACACUCUUUAUUUCUUUAAAAACUUACCCAACUAGUCAUAACUUACUAAUGACAGUUCACCAUCAGGUAUUCUUAGAACUCUUUAUUGUGAAGUAGUUGAUUUUAUAUGCAACUUCCCAUGUUAUUUGGAACUGCUGCAUAUUAAUAGUUGAAAACCCUGAGAGUUGGCAACUACGAGUUUUCUUGGCUUUGGUUGGUAGUCACAAAUGUUUGAUUUCUAGCUAGAUAUAGAUACUAUGCUUUUCUUUUUUUGAAAAAAUACUGCAGGUUUUCAUCUUUAUGACCGUUUUGCUUCAUAAUAGUUCGCAUUCUUAGCCUUAAGAGCCACUUUGCUGGUUGUGGUUUUUCAGGUUCUUCUAAGCCUAACAAAUUAUUGCCUGGAGUUUCAAUAAUUGACCAAAACAAGAAAUGUGUGAUAGAUGGUUUUUCUACGGUUGUAAUUAAUUGUAUACAGGAAUUGAUUUCCUCCAUUUUUUCCCCCUGUGAUUCUUUCCAUUUUUUCCCCUAUGAUUCUUUCUUCCGCAGCUUCCUAAAUCCUAAUUUGUUCAUUCUUCCGUGAUUCACAAAAUCUAGAAGAAACUUUUAGAGUUUAAUUCAUUAAAUAUAGAAGAAAUUUUUAGAGUGAAUAUCAUGCAGUAGUAGCAUUAGAUGUGAAAAGAAACAAUAGCAUUCCUUGUCAAAACAUUUAGCCUUCAGCAAAACUUCAAUAUGUUCCUGCUAAAGCUUCCACAUUUCCUUCCCUCACUUGAAAUUGUCUCGAGCUAUCUCAGUGUAAAUACUGAUAGUAUUUGUUUGAUUUUCAUGCUCAUCGGUAUCAAUUUCGGUUGCAUGGGCAGUGAUCACUGCCUUAACUGUAGUUCCUAUGAUAUCUGACGACAACACAAACUCUGACUUGUGGUAAGAAUACAAUUCUGGGUUAUGAACUCAUAUACAGAUGUAGAGACAUGCACAUCCGCAUUUCAGUGUCUAGGUCAAGUGGAUGGAUUGACACGCAGGGAGUGUGUUCUCACCUUGAGCAAUUUAAUGUCUUCUAUCUCAUAAAGCAACAAAGCUGCAUAACUUGGAGUUUGUUUCAGGGUGAACAUCACAACUGGAGCCUCGGAGGAGAGAAUGAUGCUUUCCGGAAUGCAUACCGUUGCAGACAUAUUUUGCUGCUGCUGUGGACAAAUUAUUGGCUGGAAAUAUGUACUUCCCCCACCCCACACGCACACACGCAUGCCUGACUUACUGUACAUAAAACAACCUUUUUGCUGAAUUUGAACUAAGAUUUCUUGUCAUUUCCUUACCAGGAGGCAGCACAUGAGAAGAGCCAAAAGUACAAAGUAGGCAAGUUUGUUCUUGAAAGGUCCAGCUCUUGCUUUAUAAAUUAAGAUAUUCAUGCUUCUGUCUAGCUUCUUGACGUCAUACUUAUUCAUGGCUGCAUUUCAAACAGAGGGAGGAUCGUUGACGAGAUGGACUUGUCGACGGGAGUCUUUAUAGACGCGCACUCUGGUAUGAGUGAUGGAGAAGAUGCAUAAGAUUUGAAUUCAACUCCCAAGUAGAUGUAAAAAGUAAUGUAGUAGGAAGGCACUUGUAUAGAAGAACAAUUGUGCAAACUCUGAUAGUUGAGAGAUUUUUCAUAAUUUUGGUGGAAAUGGUGUAAUUUGCAUUGUUAGAAAUAGUGAAUCUGUGCCUACUCUUUGAUACUGUGCAUUCUUAGUGCUCCCAAGAGAUCUCUUUCCGGCCAUGGAGACCGACGGUAGUUGUGUUGCUCUUUCUUUUAACUGUAGGUUUUAAAUGAAAAUUUUUUAAAAUUAAAAAAAAAAUUAAUUUUUUUUCAUUUUCCAAAUAAAAGAAUCAUUAGAAAUUAAAUUAAAUUAUUACAAAUUUUAAAUAGAUUAUCAAUGAAAUUUCAGAUAAAUUAAUUAUUAAAUUAAUUAUUUAAUCUUCUCUUAAAAUAUAUUAUUAGUUUUUAUUUUUCAGACAAUUAUCUAUUUAGUGAGACAUUAACUAUUUAGUCAGACUUUGAAAAAAUUAAUUUUUAACUAUUUAAUCUUUUUGAAUUAAAACUAUUAAAGCGGUUAAUAAUAUUUGAAAAGACUAAAAUAUCUUUUUUUUUUAAAAUUAAUUUAUAUAAUUUUAAAAUAUAAUAAUUCAAUUAUAUAAUUUUAAAAUCAUAAUUUAUAUUAAUUUAUGUAUUUUUGAAAAUAAAAUAAACCAGAUGAUUAAAUUGUAAUUUUUCGGAAAUUUUAUAUAAAAAAAUUUCGAUGAUGUAAUAAGUACGAUAUCCAUUUCUUUUGUGCUGAUUCCUCCAAUUUAAUUUCUCAAAAUUUCCUCUUUACAGUUUCUCCAAACAAGGGGCGAGAGAAGAGACCAAAUUGCUUUACAAUUUACAAUGAAAUUCUCAGCUAACCCACUCGCUCUGAGCGUCCCAGACGCUGCCUUCGAAUCAUGGCUUCGCGACUCCGGCUACCUCGAAAUCCUCGACCACCGCUCCUCCUCCUCCCCCUCCUCCACCGCAACCACUACCACCGUUUCUGCCACCUCCAGCACUCCCGCCACCGCCACAAUAACUGGUGGAUUUUUCGUUUUUCUCUUCUCCCGUAUCCUUACCCUUCUCUCUCUAUUUACUCUUAACCCGCUCUCUAAGCUCACUACCGAUGAUUUCUCCGGUCAAACACCCUCCUGGACCUGCGCUUUUUUAGGGGACUGUGGGUCCUAUUCCUUCCCUUCCGGUACUGACCAGGCCAGGCUCCGUGUUCAUGAGAAUGUUAAGCGUUAUGCUAGGAACUACGCCUCUCUUUUUAUCCUCUUCUUUGCUUGCACUCUGUAUGUUCUCUCUCUUAUUAUAUUUUAUUUUAUUUUUUCCUUAAUAGCGAUUAUAUUCUGUUUGGUUGCCUAGAAAAAGAGUAAAUGAAAUUUAAGAAAAAUGUUGAAUUUUGGAUAUGCUUCUUCAAAAUUUGGCUUCUUUAUUGCUUUUUCUGUUUUCUCCUUACGAGUUCAUGAUUGCUCGGACGAAACAAAUGAAAAUUCAAUAUGGGUGCUUUCAUCACGUGAGCAGUCAUCUCAACAAUGUUGUUUUAGCUAAAUUGAGUAAGAAAAUAUUAUUGGAUUGGAUUGUAUCUCUGUGUUGGCCAUCUAAUCUUUGGAUUUAAUGUGACGGGGAAGUACAUAUUCAAUCAUUACUAGAAAGGGAAGACAAACAACAAACCAAUAUCUAUGGGCUAACCAUCUUUUAGGUGUAAUUGAUGAGCCGAGUUAUGGGUGUUCUUUUCUUCUCCUUUUCAUACUGGUCAAUCUUUUCUGUAUUCUGUUGCUGGGUUUCUAGGUAUCAGAUGCCACUUGCUCUCAUUGGCUUGAUAUCAAGUUUGGCACUUUGGGACAUUUUCAAGUUCUGCAGUGAUAAAUGGGGAUUGGAUCAAUACCCUGUAACUAGGCAGGUUUUGCUUCGCACUGCUCAAUGUGGUGAGUGAUCAACUCUUCUUACUUCUGGUCUUUUAUGAUUAUUUUUGCACUAGGAGUCCAUCCAUGUCUGAUCUUAAGGUACUUCAGAAGUUUGUGUGUGCAAACUGUGUUUACAACAAAAAAAAAAGCAUACUGCUCUUGUGAUACACAGACAUUGAAACUCUGUCUUAUUUUAUUUUAGUUUAUUUGAUAGAAGAAAGAUGCUGAUCUUAAUUAAUUGUUUCAACUUUUAUCAUCUAUUUUCGUGUGACCAAAUAGAUCAUAGAUAAGUAAAAAAGGCAUUUCAAAAAAAAAAAAACUCCACAGGAUUUAACUUAUAUGUAAUCUGCAGUAACUUUGUUUUUUUGGGUGCUUUGUUAGAGUUGUCCCAAUAAAUACAGAAAAAGUAACUACCAAGAAAAGGGAGGGAGAGAAAACAAAGAUCGUGAAAAGAUAGGGAAUUGAAACUACAAAAGACCUAUGGAGAAAACCCUACUUUAGGAUAAUGAAUUUAACAACCCAGAGUCAAGUUCACAAUGGCAGAAAUUUGGGGUAAUAUUUAUAUUAUUGUUCAGGAAUUAAUUGCUGAAUUGCAUACCUUUUGUGGGAUAUAGACAUGUACUAGGUUUUUUCUUUCUUAAAUCGAUAAUUGAAGUUUAGCAAAUUCAACUUAGAAAAAAUGAAAUGAAAAUUGAAGAAAAUCGUGUAAGAAUCCCCAGCCUACAGAACCAUUUGGUUUUGCCUAAAAAAAUUGAAGAAACUGCUUAAAUUGAGGCUGAUGUUGGCUACGGCUCUGAGGUUAUGACACCAACUUGGGGGGAGGGAUUUAUUGUCCUAGAAAGAAAAAAGACUAAAAUUAGAUAGGUGAAAAGUUAUGCUACCCAUGUAAUUUUCUCUUUUCUUUUUCACUUUAUUUUUUUCAAAUUUCAUACUCCCUUCUUUCUAUAAUUUUUAUCUAAUUUUUUUAUUAUCUCAAAAUUAUUGUCCACUUCUCUUUUUACACUAUAGUAACAAAUAAAUUGAUUAUUAUAAGCCUAUUUAAUUUUAUCUUAUUUUCAAGAAAUCUCUCAAAACAUCUCUUAGUAUCUAAUAAAAUUUAAUGUCUUUAAAAUUGGUAUAAUUAGGAAGUUAAUAAAAAAAUUGUCUUGUGAAAAAAUAAAGUGAACAAAAAUUAUAAGACGGGGAGUAAUAUAUUUUAAUUAAGUCAACCCACGUGUCAAGUGAUUGACAAUGGGAAGAUAUUUUUUGAACUUGCAUCUAACGUACUGAGAUAUAUCUUUCAUUGCAGCAACUGCCGUUAUUCUUAUUUGUUUAAACGUUCAAAUGGCUCUCUUCUGUGCCCUUGGUGUGAGCUAUGCAGGUAAUAAUUUAUGUUUUCCCUAUUUUAAAUGAUGGGAGAAGCCUGACUAGCUACCUUAUCCACGCAGUAACUUUCCUCUUCCUCCAGUUAAGCGUUAUCUUUUGUAUUCCUUUGUAGUUAUGAUUUUGCAUGCUGCAUUUCGGAAGCUGACACCAGCAAAACUACCUUCUAGGCAAAGAUAAAAUGGGAUAAAUUUUUCAAAAUAGGCAGAGAGAUUAUUUGGUAAUUCGGCUUCAAGUGGAGAUACUCACCGCGAGAGAACAACAGGUCCUGUCCAUUCUGAUGUCAAAGGUCUAUUAAUCUUGCAGAUGGCAGUGGCCAGUAAAGCACUGUGACAAUCCAUUAUAUAGUUCCAAGUUCACUUGUACUGUGAAAUUACAAAUUAUUGAUUAUAUAUAAAUAUUUUUGUCUCUGUAGUAUCAGGUGUGGGGAAAAGCCUUGGAAACUAAAACAGUUUGGUACAUUAUCGUGAGAUAGCCUAGCCUCAUAAGAAUGCUUUACUGCUGCUCUAAUGAAGAUUGAAAUUAUGAUCCUAUGUAAUGCUGCAUUCUUGUUUAUAUGAUGGAAUUGCUUUUGAAGCUCCAAUUUGCCCAAGCUCAAUAAAGACGACUCUCUUUCUAGGACUUGGCAAAGCUAUUGCGAUGUUAUAUUCAGCCAGUCUGCUAAAAUUUUGAAAGAAUCUUUAAGAAUAUAUGUGGUUUACCUUUCGAUGCAAGCUAAGCCAAUGGUUGAUUAAUAUAUAAACAGCCUAUUUUAUCUUUUUAAUGUUUCUAAAAUAAAUAGCUUAGCUUUUAAAAGUAACGAGUAGUAUAAUUUCAAUAAAUUAUAAUUUACCUAUAAUUUUAUAUAUCAAAAAAUCAUUUAUAAUAGAAAUAAAUAAACAAUAUUUAAAUCAGUUGUUUAUUUUUGUAUGUAUAAAACAUUAUAAGUACAACAUACGCUAUCAUUUAUUAUCAUAUAAUAAUAAUAAUUAUAAUAAUUAAAAAAACACCUAGUGGGAGGAAAGAUGUUAUCAGAUCCAAAUAAUUCAGUCAGUGAGAUAAAUGUUAAUAACAAAAUAUUUUACCAAAAUGUGUUGAUAAAUACAAUUAUGUUAUAUGCUAAAAUUACAUUGUUACUAUAACAUUAGCAAACCCCUAACUAUACAUCAAUUCAGCCCAGCAGAAAAAAGAAAAAAAUAUAUAUAUAUGUAUAUAUAAAAAGUAAAAAAUAAUUAUAGUAAUAUAUAUAAAAAAUAAAAUAGAUAUCAAAUGCACAAUUUCUUACAAUGAUAUGUACAUCAAAUCUCAAAGAAUGCACAAAACAAAACAAAACACGCUACAAAACAAAGUUAUAAUUCCAACUCCAAAGUCCAACCCCUUUAUGUUGGAUGUGAAACUUGGCUUUGCCAUCUGCAUAAAAGAUAAAGUGGCCAUCGGCAAAUUUCAUGUUAAACUGUGUUCCAAUAUCAGAAGAUUUUCAGUAAAAUCCAAAGAGAGCAUAAAUAUUCUAGAGACACUUGGUAUGACGUAAAAGAUAGCCUUCUUCCUAAACUUUGAAACAUUGUCACUUGACCAACCUUGAGAGUAGAAACCUCGCAAGAGGGCUUAAAUUGGCAUUUGAAUUGUACUCCUUAUUUUGUUGCUUCUUCCUGUUUUCAGCUUCUGCAGUUGCAUUUUGUGUUUCUUCAGGUGCUGCCUUGCCCUUAGAGAACAGCCGAGAUGCUAACUCCUGUAGAUCUUUCAUUGAAGGUUCCUUUGAACUGCAUAAAACCCCUUCCACUUUAGUAACUUUUACUACCAUAAGCAAAUAUUUUAACUAUUACAGGAUAAGGGACUAAUGAAAAUUUUGAUAUAAAUUUAAUAUUUUGGGGAUUCAAGAAAAACUUAUAAACCUUGAUAGACGCUGAAGCAAACUCCUAACCAGGAGAUCAGCUGAUCCAGGCUUCAUCAGCUCCAUAUUUACAAGUGAAUUUCUAACAGCACGCAACAUUGAUCCUUCUGAGUCAUCACCAACAGCCUAUAUUGUAGAGAUGGAGCUAUUACAAGGGGUAUAAAGCUGAGAGCUUCUAAAACUAUGGGAUACUCCUAUAAAGAAUAAAGAUGAGAUGGUUGCUUUCUUCUUUAUUUCUGGAUAAAGAUGAUUAAAGAUUUCUGGAUAAAAGCAAGAAAGUGCACGUCAUCUCAUGUACAAAAGACACAUCUAUAGUUUAUUAUAUAAGCCGCAUGAAAUGGUAAAAGGUAAGAAAUAAAAGCAAAAAAUACUGAGUGAUGUAAUUUAUAUGAUGUGAAUGGUAAUGUGGUGGCUCACCUCUUUUAAUGAUGGCAUAAACAAAACUGAUAAAGGUGCUGAUGAAGAAGCUAUUCUUGCACUUGCUUCAUCUUCACUUGCUUGGCGUGAUCUUGGAAAUGCUCUUUGUGCAUCCAAGUAGUCACGAGAACUUCAGAGAAUAUGCAAUAUCUUUAGAAUGUACAAGAAACUUUCUUUUUGUUAGUGGAUGAUCAGCUGCAUGUGGAAAAAUAUGUACCUGGACGAAUCAGAAGUGUUUGUCAUUUGCUCUCUUCUUCUGUUUUCAUGGCCAUCAUUGUUGAGCUUGUUUAGAGCAGACCUUUCUCUGGCAUUGCCUUUCCGUAAUCCUGCUUGCAUUGCAGCUUUUGCCUACACAGCAAUUGACCAAAGAAGCUUCUCAAGAAAAAGCAUGUUGACGAGUUUCAGAUUUGAAAGUGCAGCAGUGAUUUCAGAUUCCAUUGAACAUGAAACAUUUAAAAAAAAAACAAAUAAAUAAAUUCAAUACUAUGUAAAUCAAUGGUAAAAAUUUCAGAAGAGUUCAGCAAUAGAUUCCUAACAAAAUUAGAGCACGGGGCAGCAAAAGAAUUUCAAAAAUGAAUCACACAGAAAGUCAGAGAUACACCAAAGAUAGUUGCAAAGAUUAACUCAGGAAUAUAAGAGCAUGUUUAGUUAUGGAAAAUAUGUCUGUUUUCUAAAAAUAUUUACUUGUUUUUCAAAAAAUUAGAAAAUGUGUCCAUUUAAAAUUUUUUUACUCUAAUUGAAAAACAGAAAAUAAAUUUUCUAUUUUCUAAAUUUUAUAAAGGAAAUGGAAGACACUGAAAUAAUUGUUUUUCAUAUUUUCUUCAUCAUAGUGGAAAAUUGAAAAAUGGAUACACUUUACACAAGUGAAACACAGCUUUUAAUAAAAUUUUCUUUUUAUUUUAAAUUAAUACAAAAUGCAUGAAUUUUUCUCUUUAUUUUAAAUUAAUAUCAAAAUUAAGGUGGGGAGUAUUAUAAAAAAAUAAACACAUUUUCUGAAAAAAUAAUGACAAUUUGAAUAUAUUUUCUAAUUUUUCAAAUUGAAAAUAAUAUUUAAUAUUACAUGAAAUGAACACGUUUUCCCAAUUUUCUAAGGAGAACAAAACAAAGAAAAUGAAAAUAAAACUGAAAAUAUUAUGUAACUAAACGCACCCUAGGUGUCUCCAAUUAAGAAAUGUAGAAUAUAAACUCAACAUGAUGCAAAGAUUCUGACAACUAAGGAACAAUGUUUGCCAAGCACCUAACAGAAAUUAGCAAGUAAUGGAAAUAACCUCAGCAAGAUUUACUGCACUGUCUUCCAGUGAGGCACUUGAAGUUCUCUCUUGUAUUCCCAAUAUGGACUUUGGAGUCAAAGGAGAAUCAGAAUCAUGAUGUUGGCCACGGAAGACAACAGUUCCACUAGAAGAAGCAUCUUCAAAAGACCCGACUGUGCUACUGGACUAUAAAAAAGGAUUAUAAUCUGAUCAAAUAAAAGAGCUGCGAAGGGGAAGAAUAGCUAUAUAUUCUCAACAUCCUUUUUACAAAAACUGGACGGGAGUCAUACCAGAUUGCUUUGAUCUCGAAACACGGUAGAUGAUUGAGAGCCUCUGGGAGUCCGUAUAACAACAGUUCCUGACCCACUUACUGAUAAUUCCUCCUGAAAUUGAGCAUACAAAGGUAGGAAGUUUAAUCAACAAAGUUUCAGUUGGCUGAGUUGUUUGUGAGUAUAUACGCCCAGCAAACUAAAAACUUGCUCAAAUUUUCUUUCUAGUUAGCAGCAGACAAAUACUGGACUGGAGAUGGUAGAUCCUGGUGAUAUCACAAAAUCGCAGUAUAAUUGUGAUGGUAUGAAAAUAUUUCCAAAGAAUACCUUGGCUUGUGCUUUAAGCAGGUCCCUUUUGUAAUCUUACUGAUAGGGCAGCUAACAUCUCAAUAUUGAGGAAAUGUUAACUUCUGAUUUUCUUUCUAACUCUAAUUACUCCACAAAAACACAUGCAAAAUAUUGCUACAUCAUUCAAUUGAUAACAAACGAAUCAUUGUGAGGAAGAGAGAGAGAGAGAGAGGCUGCUAAGGCUUACGUAAUCAUGAGAAUUAUCCUGAUGUUCAUCAUGAUGUGUACCCCUAGCAUCUUUACCAAAUGAUAUUUCUGGGGAUUCCUCAAGGGCAUUUCCAGAUGCAGACAACAAAUCACCACUCUCCGUUGGUCUGGGGGUAACCUUAUUGUACGAAAUUUCUGUUUUCUUUUCUCUAACCUGAGGAGAUCGAACAGCACUUCUUAUGGUUCCAGUACUCUGUGAUCCACCAAUACUGAAGUCCCACCCAGCAUUUUUUAAUGGCUUUCCCUGACCACUGCAAAUUAAACCACACUACCAAACUAUAACACCUCCUUUUAGAUCAGAGUAAGAAUAGAUACUACACAAGCAAUUGUAAUAAACAAAUUCUAUCCACCUGGCUCGAACAGUUCCCUCAUCUCCCACAUCUCUGGUCACUUUCACAGUGCCGGAUGACUGUGCCACUGCUCUUGGACCAUUCCUGGGGGUUUCUGCAUCCUUUAUUUGGUACUUUGGACGCUCUCUGUCAAGAUAACCAGACUGUAAAUACUGUGAUUUCAGCACCAAAAAAGAAGCUCCAACUAAACACUUUCAGUCAUGGACAACAGAAAUUUCAGGUUUUCCAUGCGCAAGCAAAUCAAUCACAUAAUGAGUUCUCUCAAAGCACCUUGUGUGCAUUGGCAUGGCAUUGUCGUUUAUUGGGGGAAUCAAGGAUUAGCGAAACAUUAAAAAUAUUGGUACGCAAUUCUUUUGGGCCUUUAUUAACCCCACUUAACUUAUUAAAAAAAAAAAACAUUACAGUGUGCAUUUUGAUUUAAAUAGGUGAAAGGGCUCAAAUUUGGAUGUUUUGAUUUUGCAAUCUCAUUUACCAAAUAUACACAGGGGUUUCCAUUCUUACUUCAUUUAAAAUAAACUUACUUUAUUACAAAAACAAAUUAAACUUCAUAGAAAUUAUAUAUUGUUUAUCAUAACAUAUCUAUUUUUUAAAAUAAUCAUUUUACAGAUAAUAUGUGAAAUUAUAUUAAUAACAUUAUUAUUUUUUAUUACAUUAUUUAUAAAAAAAUAUGUUAUUAUCUUUAUGUAAGAGUAAAUGUUUUUUAACAUUUCUUAAAACAUCACUAAUUGUUAUUGUUUUAAUUCUCAAAACAUCACUAAUUGUUAUUGUUUUAAUAAUUUUUCAUAAAACAGUUACUUCUCGAAAUAUAUAUCAUUCUUUUAUAAAUCUAUGAAAUAUGCAUACAAAUAUCAAAGAUUUUAAUUUUAAAAAAUUUGACAAAAAUUUAUAUUUAUAUGUUCUUUUGAAUUAUUAUCAUUUUUCCAUUAAAUUUUAUAUUUUCCAUAAUAUGAUUUAUUGCGAAAAAUAGAUUCAUUUUAUAAAAAUUAAGUAAAAUAUAAAAUUUUCUCGUAACAAACUAAUUAUUACUUUGUUUUAAAUAAAGUGACCAUAACAGUCACCUAUAUAUAUAUAUAUAUACAUAUAAUAUUGAUUGUUGUUAUACUUGAAGUUCAUUUUAUUUGUUAAUACUUUCUUUUCCAACCCCAGAAAUUGCAAAGUGAGAUUAGGAAUCAAAUUUGUGGGUUAUAAUUAUGCUUUAGGAAUCCUUGUACCUAAUUUCAUAUAGUAUACACUUGGCUUGUCACAUGAAACUAAUUUCAUAUUUCCAUAUGUGAAAAUAAUUAUGAAGUCAAAUUUUCACAUCAAGAAUUAUUUAUAGAUGAAGAGAUGUCAUUGGGCUUUUUAUUUGCCAAACAGAACAUAUAACAAGUAAGCCUUAAUCUCUGCAGUACACAGACAUGCAUACACACACACAGAUAUACAUAUAUAUAUCCCAACUGAAAAAUUAUAUGGCUCCAUCCCUGCUCAAAUGCAUCGUUGUCAAAGGUAUGCCUGAACUACAGUGCACUAAGGCCCUACGUCUUCUGCCUCAAGUUGACACAGGUGACACACUAUGACAAGGAGUCGAGAAUUUUAACUAGUACCAUCAUUUUAAACUUAUAAAAGUGGAGUGUGGAUUUGGCUUUAACAAUGGAUGUUACUAAAAAUGCCAAUAAAAGAAACACUUAAAUCGAAUAAACUCUCAGCAAGUAAAUAUCCAAUAACCUAAACGCCCUUUCUCCCUUCCAAUCCACCUGAUCUCUUUUUUCCAAUAGGAGCUUGAAGAAUAGAAUUUGCAGAAUGUUACUAUGCUGAUUUAGUUAAUACUAGUCAAGAUUCUAAUUAGUUUUUCUAGAAGUAGCUAGAAUAGCAGAAUAUUGGGAUCCACUAUUUUGAUUGUAGUGUCUGUUGAAAUAUGCUCACUUUUGAAAAGACUUUUUCCCUUUUUUUUACAUUCAUGUGUACAUGACUCUUGUUGAACUAGUCUUAGUAGUCAUCUUCUUUGCACCAAAAUAGCAUGAGAAAAAUUUGAAACAUGCAAUUAUGAUCUUGUGUUGAUGUGUUUUGCAUUUUUACAACCAGUUUGUACUUUGACUUCAGUCGAAUUAAUCUUAGUAAUUCAUGGUGUCUCAUAAUAGAUUUUAGCACGCUUCGCAUUCAGUCAUUUCAACUUAAUAAACUGAAAAGUAUUAUAUACAUAUUUUAGGCACAUGCACCUUUCACCUAUGCCCUGUGUAGUGUGUAUACAGCUUAUGUCUUUGACAACUAGCUUAUGUUAGACAGGCUGGUGCAGUGCCCAAAUUCCAAAGGCUCACUAGAAAAUAAAAAAAAUUGAAAUCAUAUUUCCAGAUUAAGAAUGAAUAACGGGUUACAGCAUGCACCUUAUUCUUUCUAGAAGUCUUGGGCUCUUCCUAGCAUUUUUAAUAAAACGGUGCUUCAAAAGCUCCUUAGCACUUGGCCUCUGAAAUUAAAUUGAUAAGACUAAAUUACAAGAAAGUAUGAAGUAUGCAUAAGAUAAUCAUGAAACAAAACAAGGAUAAAUGUUUAAAAAACUAAAAGAAUCAAAGAGGUAAGAAGCAAAAAGUGCCAUACAAUCAAUAAAUGUUAAUUAACAUGAGUACUACUUGCAUAAAAGUUGAGAAAAAACCACAGAUCACCUUCAAAUCUCAACUAUAAUAUUAUUUUCAACCAUUAGUAGAGGGGUUUUCAUCAGUGCAGGUUGCCUAAGCAAUAUGCAAUUAUUUUAUCAAAUGAAUUUUGAACACUUCAGUCACUUCAGCCUAAGGUUCUCAAAUGACUAGGCAUAUGUACUGUAUAGUAACUCCAAUAGAACACAAAAUUUUGCAAUAUAAAAUGAUUCAAAAGCUAAAGACUGGACAUAGUCACUUCUGGUCUUUUAGGGAUAGGUGCCCACAGCACACUUUUGGACUAAUCAUUUGUGUAACCUACUGUAGUCACUUCUAUACCAAGGUUCUAUAAGAAUCAUUGCACCCGGAAUUCUUGAAUAAAAACUAGAGAAAUUUCUGUCCAAUUUUACUUUAAAACAUCCAUGUUUAACUUAUGACUCAACCAUCUGAGAAAUGAAUGAUUCUAUCUCUAUAAGGAUUUCAUUGCUCAGGGAAACUGUUAAACAGGUAAUAUUGGGUUCCUUUUCAAUCACUUCUUCCAUGUCAAAUUAUUCAUUUCCAGUUACCGAGCACAAAAAGAUGGAGGAGAAUUGUUGAACUAGUACAAUAAAGACAAAAUGCCACGAGAGUGGUCACAAAAAGAACAAACAGCCAUAUGCAAUUUAUUGGAUACGCAACUCUUUUAGGCUUGUAGGUAAAUGUAACUUUUAAGUGAGUUACCAUAUAAAAAUCUACGAGGACAAAGUCAAUUUGGUCGUGUUGCUCACAACUCAAGUAUUUCUCCUCAAAUACCUAUCAAUGUUAUUGGAAGCUUUUAAGCUUGCGCUAGAACCAACUAUUGAGUAGAAUGGUUAAAAAAAAAAACAACUGACUUUUUGACUGAUACAUGUGAAUCCAAUCCAACAAUCUAAUUCAAUUUUGAAAAAUAAUUGGUCUGACAUGUGAAUCCAACCCAGCAAUCUACAGGUCCCAGGAUCAAAUUCAGUUUUUAAUAAAUAACUGGAUGGCAACUCUCGAGAAUUAAGAUACAUUAAAAGGAAGAGCCUUCUUUUGUUUUCUUUCCAUUUUAAAAAUCUACCUUUCUUCAGGUCCAAUACAUCAGCUUGAACACAAGUAUGGCUUCUCAUUCGACAUCCAAAUACAAAUAAACAAAGAAUCCAAUCCCAGGAACCAUAUGCAUGGAGUUGACACACGGGUAUGGAUCCAAAGAUCGUACUCUUCAUGAUCCCACUGUUUUAUGAGUAAAUAUUUUAGGAUUCUUCUUGGAUUCAUUAUAUUACUGGUGUGUGGCUCUCCGUCAAUGUGUAGGGUCAAAAAUUUGAAGUUGUUCAUCUAAUUUAUCAUUGCUGAAUUACAACCUUAAUCUGAAAUAUGCCGGUUGAAGGAAUAUCAACCUUAAUCUGAAAUAUAUCCAACCCAAUCAUUGUGUCCUGAUGAGUGGGAAUAUAGCAGGGCUAUGUCAUAAAAUUUGGGCAAUGUCAUCUGAAGUGGAUAGCCUAGGCUAAAAUGCAAAGGCUAUGUAACUUUAGCUCAAGAAUGCAAUUCCAAAAUCCAAAUGCAAACCGUCUUGUCUCCAUUAUCCACAGAAUGAUAUCCAAAAGAAGCAGAAACUAGAACACUUAUACAGGAGGAAUAAGUACUUGCCUCAGCAGGAGCUUUCUUUAAACACAAUGAAACAAAUUCUUUGAUUGGACGAGAAAAAUGCUCAUCGAGCUGCACAAGAAACACAGAAUGUUGAUUCUCUUAAACUGUGAAGAAUGAUACUUCCAUCUGACAAAAGAUAUCAAUAUUCUAAAUGAAGUAAUAAGUAAUUAACCAGUUUGAUAUCAAAGAACUUCUAGAAAACCUGUGGGGGAUUUUCUCGAGGUAUGAUAAAAAGGACCUUCAUAGGAUAAAGAUCUGCAAGGGGGGGUUCCCCCUUUGCCAUCUCGAUGGCAGUUAUACCCAGUGACCAAAUAUCUGCCUGCAUGAUGCAAAAGGUCAAUAUGCAAUAGACAUUUAUUGGGCUAGACAGGUUUCUAAAUAGAAAUUCUCAGUAAUAAUUUAGAAGAAUUACCUUCUCAUUGUAUCCCUCUGAAUUUUGAAUUACCUCUGGCGCCAUCCAGAAUGGAGUUCCUACAAAAGUCUGUAAUUACAAACCAAAUUAGCAAUUUUCCAUUAAAUUCCAUUAUCAAAUUAGAAAAGUUAAAAGCAUUUCAAACAUUAAGAACUACUGACUUCAAUUUCUAAAAAAAAAAUAAAAAAUCCCUAUGAAACAUCUCUGCUCUAAAAUGGUCAUAUCAUAUAAGGAAUGCAUGAUCAGAUGGGCAAGCCAAGACCUGUAAAAUUCCAUCUUCUAAAUCAUUAUUUCACAAUAUUCGAUACUCAGUACUUAAAACAGUUUAUGAAGCUUAACUUCACAAAAACAUAAGAACAUAGCUUUCAGCUUUGUGCUAAACUACUAUUUUGUAGUAACCAUUAUUUGACUAACCUUUUAAGAGAAUUUAACUGAUAAGCAACACACAUUCACAGACACACAAUUGGAAGCAUGUGCACAAGAAAAAAAAAAUGAUUUAGACAAGGGGGAAAAACUGUCAUAUCAAAAAGGGAAAGAAAUAGUUAACCACUCCAGUCAAUUCAGUUUUUAUUCAUACUUCAUGCACCUAACAGUUAAUCCAACCAACUAAGGUUUCAACUUCACUAUUAUAAUAUUAUAUAUUCUGCAUUAAUAAUAGUAUAAUAUUUAUGAAUAUCACAAAAAUAUUUUAAUUCACAUAUUUGAACUUCAAAUUUUUCUGUCCACUCAUUUGUACAGAUGAAGGAUCUAUCUCUUGUUGGCUUCAAAAUCUAAUAUCACCUCCUGUGGUUAAAUAAGGAAGGAGGCACAGCAUCCAUUGUUAUCUGUGUGGAAAAACAAAAAGGAGGCAGGUAACUCCUUUGAGAUGUAACCAAUAUGGGACAAAUUAUCCGACAUUAAAACAUGUAAAGGAAGCAGAGACUCCUCUUCAUAUAAACAUAUAAGCCCCCAUCUCCCUUCAUACUUCUGCACAAGCCCUGGUUCAAGGCUUCUGCUCCUUAGGAGAAGCCUCAAUGAAGUGGCACUAUUAUUUAAUUAGUUUAAAUUUUUCAAGGUUUUGGUGAACCAGCCAAUAAAAAAGUUGUUCGGUUUUGCUGUAUAUGAAUGAACCAAGAUUAUUGUUUUAGUUUGCAGAAGAGGUAUACAAUUUGAAAUAGACACACCUAAUCCUUAUUAAAAGCUAGCUAGAGACAAUGAGAAACAGGUCGUCAAAUGAGAGGCCUAACUAUAAUGCUAUAAAUUAAACAUAAAAGUUAUACCAUGUCACAUCAAGAUGUCCACUUUUUAUCACAUCAAGAAUGAAGCUUAGAGGAAAAGAUGUAGUACCUUUCUCCUAGAUAUUGUUCUUGUUAAUUGGGCAGAAACACCAAAAUCUGCAACCUGUCACAAGGACAUAAUUAUAACUUGGAAUACUAAAAGUGCAAGCUCGUAAAACCUGUUGCAUUACUGCAUAUCCUUCUACAUUACUCUUAUAAAUAAUUCAGGAGAUUUUUACAUGCAAUUGAGAAAAAGGAUAUACCUUAACAUCGCCAUUCUCACCCAACAAAAUGUUUGCGGCUGCAAAAAUUAUAAUAUUAAUGUUACCACUUGAACAAUAAAUUUAAAGCAAGGCAGGCAAACUAGAGCAAAUAACACACGGGUGAAGCCCCUAAAGUAAGCAAACAUAUGAUUUACACAAGUCCAAUUUAACCAAAUGUUCAAAGUAAUUUCAACAAUAUCUAAAUGAUAAUGAGAUUCAAUUAUGAUGGGAGAGGGAAAAAAAACCUUUAAUAUCUCUGUGAAUUUUCCCUUCAUUGUGUAAAUACUCAACUGCAUGCAGCAAGUCACGCAAAAUACAAGCAAUUGACAUUUCAUCUAGGGGAGGACCUGACUGGAUCUGCAAAAAAAAUAAAUAAAUAAAUACUAGAUCAAUGAAGUAACCUACUAGAUCAGCAACUGAAGUAACCUACGAGAUCAGCAACUGAGCCGCCAGCCAUGUAUUCCAUUAUUAUCCAUAAUUUAGUUUGGUUAAGAUAAGAACCAUAGUACUCUGUAAUAUAUGGACAACGGCAUUGUGACAGAACUGAAAUUUCCUGACAUGAAAAUCAGAUACAUGAGUAAUGUAGUCAUUUGGCAAUUUCACACAUAAUAAAUUAGACAGGCAAGAAUAUAAAGUAAUACCUUCUGAAUGUCCUCAAUUUCAUCCUCACUACAGAAGCCAAAAUCAAAAGCCUAUUAGGAAUAUCAAAUAACAAUAUCCAAAUAAAGACUAACAAGUGAUGAAUGUGUCAUGUACUAUAAGAAUCUUGCACUGCUUAGUCAAAUCAGCAUGUGACUAAGAGUGGCUUCAUUGAAAUCAUAUCGCCAAAUUUUUGUUUUUAUGAUUUUAUAUAAUUUUAAUAUAGUAAUAUUUAUUUUUCAUUUAUUAUUGUAAAAUUUUAAUUUUAAGCUUUUGUUUAUUACAUACAAUUGAAAAUUAUUAUUUAAAUUUUAAAUUAUUUAAAAUAUUUAAAAUUUCAGAAACUUAUUUUAAUAAUUUUUUAUGUUUCUUAUUAAUUAUAAUAAGAAGCAUUAUUAUUAAUUUUAUAAUAUUUAUUUAAUAAUAUUACCAGUUCAACUGUAGUUCGACCAUGAUUGAACCUUGAACCCUUAAUCAUUGGCCCUCACUGGUUCUUUGACCAGGCCGAGUUUAAAUGAAGUGGUAAAUAUUGAAUAACAUGCGUCUAGAAUACAAACAUCAAAAAUAAGCAAGGGUAUAUACUUACGAUUCUUCCAAAUCAAUGACUUUGAUAGCAACUUCUUUGUUAAGCUCCUUAUCAAACCUAAAUAUCAAAGAAUGCAUCAGGAACGCCAGGUUAGAAGGCAACCAAUCCUCAGAUUGUAACGACAACACACAGUAUUUUGGGAAUAAGAACAGCUUGAAAGAUGGACAGUAAUGAAUCAAGAGUUAUAAAGCCCUGUAAUGUUCAACAUAAUUAUGGAUACAUAGUAUCACAGCAACAUUUUUAGAUUCUGAUAAUGUAAUUGGUUUCUGUUAAAAAAUCUUCAUUGUGCAGUUUAAUCAUCUUAAACAAUCAUAUAACAUAACCCACAUUUAAGGAGCCUGCCAAUGGAAACACAAUUCUUGAAAUAAAACAUUCUUUUGACUAAUUUGUGCUUUUCCUUCUUUCAAUACCACUGCAGAAUUUCAAAUGCAAAAAUCACUAUCGACAUUGCAAGUGCAUUACAAUUUACAACAGAAGUACUCAUUACUUAUAUUACUAAGGAAUAUAUAUGGCAAAAGAAACAUGUGUUUAUAAAUUUUACAGUAAUCUUGCAUAUGAUUAUCAGCACGAGAAUGCAAAUUCAAAUGAUGCGCUUUAAACAAUUAAGAGCAGACUACAAUAGUUACUAGCUCCCGUAACAAACAAAUAUGAGCACUGAAAAUGAUUUAAUCAAUAAAUGGCCUUGAUCAAGGAAUACUUACGCUUUGUAGACAUCACCGAAUGAUCCUCUCCCAAUCAACUCCAAGGAGCUAAAUCUAGUACCAGCUGCCUCCAUUAACCCUGCUGCAUCAGCCAUUUCUACACCAAGCAAACACCUUUCCCUACACCCACUUUACCCACCAAUAUAAUCAGCUACACCCACUUUACACACCAAUCCAACCCAAAUAAUCUCCACAUUACCCGCAUUCUCCAAAAACACAAUUCCAAUUUACAGCACCAAAUCCAAAUAAGUCAAGAAGGGCCUUUACCAAUCCAUACUUUGUCCUCAAAAACCAACUCUGCGUCAUGAUUUGCGGCAACCCAUUAAAAAAAUACAACAUAAACGCAAAUCUACCACAACUGAGAUCUAUAAAACGGGAAAAUUAUAUAUACAAAAAUGCGUUUGAGCAAUGCAACAGAGAUAUUUUACACUCAAAGCAAAAGCAAAUGGAAGAUGGUGAUAAAGCAAUUUCCAAGUUGUAAACAAUUGGGUUCUGUUAGGUGAAGGAGAGUGAGAUAUGCUACAGUGACAGACCAACAGAAUCCCAAUGCAACAAAAGACUUGUAGCAAUGAUAGCUAAACAACAACACACACGUGGCUUCAAAAUUGGGUUUCAUUUUAGCGCUUCGCUUCUGUUCGAUGGAUAAAUAGAGAUUAAGAGAUUUGGGAAUCUGUUUACCUGUUAAUAUCGAGAAGAGAGGUCUACAGAGACCUCCAUAGAUCCUUCUCUUAGGAUUUUUCUCUCCCCAAAAGAAGAAGAGAGCAAGUUUUCUCUAUCUGUCUUUGUCUUUAUGUCUAUAUCUGGCCCUCGUUGCAGAGAGGUCGUGAGAGCUACAAGGGAUCGAGAUAGAGAGAGAGAGAGACUCUUGUGCUGUGUGAUGUUUAAUGGAAGUUUUAUUGGCUGUUUAUUAUUUCAUAAAUAACUCCUAAUUCUUAUUAAUUACACUUCUAGACAGUAAUUUAAGGAUAAAUUGUAUUUUGAUCCUCUAAUAAAAUUACUCAAUUUUAAUUUAAAUAAAAUAAAAAAAUGGAAAUGCACAUUGCUAACUAUGUAAUUUUAUAAAUAAUGUUAGAUUUUUUAGAAAUUAUUAUUUAAUUAUUUAAUAAUUUAAAGUAAUAAACAUUAUUUAUUGAAAUAUUAAUUAAAAAAUAUUUUUUAAAAUAAAAUUUUAUCGCUAAUUUUAAAGAAUAAGAAUUACAUUUUAAUAUUAAUUAUAAAGUAUUUUAAAUAUAAGUAUCACUAGAUUUCUUCUAUCACACUUUAUGAAGAAUAUUUAAUAUUUUUUAAAACAUUAUUUAAAAUUUUUAUUGAUAGUUUUAUUAGUUAAGAAAAAUAAAUUAAAACCUUAAAAUUAAGUUUAUUUAAGUUGAAUUUGCAUUAAUUAGUUAAAUAUAAUUUAAAGUAAUAAAAUAAUAUAAAAUAGUAAUAAUUAAAUUAUUAAAUUAAAACUUUAUUUAGAUACAUAAAAGUGAUAAAAACAAAAUUGGAGAAAAAUAUCUAAAAUUAUUACUAAAUUAGUGUAGUUUAUUUUGAAAUAAAAUUAAAAUUAUAUGAGUUUGUUAAAAUAAAUUAAAAUUAACCUGUAUAAAUAAAAUAAAUUUUUAAUAUAUUUAUUUAUGAAAAAUAAAUUAUAUUUAAAAAAUAUUUUCUGUUGAAAAAUAUUUUUCAUGUAAAUAUCUUUUAAUAUCUUAAGUGAAAAUUUUUCCCCUUUCAAUGACCAAAAGGGAAAAUGUUCUCCCUCGGUUUUAAUUAGUUCCCUUUUAGACAUUUGGUCUCUUAAUAAUGUUGGCUUGGUUGUCAAACUUUACUUCUACGCAAAUCUUCUUUGUCAUCUUAUCAUCUGCAAAAUUACCAUUUGGUCAUUCAACCUUUAAAAUAUAUGAGUUUUCACCCCAAAACUUCUUAAAUGUUACUUUUUAAGUCCAAAAUAAUUGAUAAUCCGAUAGAUUGAUAAUUCCGCAAUUACAAACUAAUAGAAAUAUACUAAACUCAUAUCGAGAUUCGCUCUGCUAGGAAAAAGGCAAAUUUUCUCGGAAUGGAAUGUAUUUCCUACUUAUCAUUCUCUUGCACUAGAACUGGUGAUUGAUUAUUAUUGUAACAUCAAAACAUAUAACAAGCUAAUUAUUCAUUAUGGCGUUCCAGAAUAUAUGAUUUUUUUAAUAAAAUAAUUAUUUACUUUUAUUAUUUUCAUUUAAUACUAUUAUUCAAUAUAUGAUUUUUUUAAUAAAAUAAUUAUUUACUUUUAUUAUUUUCAUUUAAUACUAUUAUUCAAUAUUUUAAUUUUCUAAAUUAUAUUUAAAAUUAUUAUUUAUUAAAUUAUAAUUAAUUAAUAAAAACUAACUAUAUAUUAUUUUUUAUGGAUGAAAAUGUAUAUAAAAUUUACUACAAUUAAUUUGAAUUGAGUUGAAAUUAUUAUAACUAAUUUUUAUAAUUAUAUAAAAUUUUACUAAAGUUAUAUGAUACUGCUAUGACUAUUUAAUUAAUAUAUUACUAUUUUAUCAAAUAUAUAUAUAUAUAUAUGUAUAUAUUAAAACAUAUAAUUAUUAGAUUUUCAUUAAUAUAAGAUUUUUCAGUGGCUAUUUCUUUAUAAAAUAUAGUUUUUUAUUAACUUUAUACAUUUUAAAUUAUUAAUUUUAUUUUCCAUCUAUUUUAUAAUUUUUAUUCACUUUGCUUUUUUAUAUAUAUUAAUAAAAAAAUUAUUAAUUUUAUAAUUAUAUUUAUUUUAGAUAUAUUAAAUUUUAUUAAAUAUCAUAAAAUAUUUCGAGAAAUUUCUUAAAAAUAAAAUAGAAUUAAAUAGAGUUAUAAAAGUCAAUUUUUAUAUUAUUAUAAUAUGAAAAAGAAAAAUAAAAAAUAAUAUUAAAAUAAUAAAAAUAAAUAAAAAUUAUGAGAUGAAAAAAUAUUAAAUAAUAUUUCAUUAUAUUAUAUUUCUUUAAUAUAAUCAUGAUAUUAAAAUUUUUAAUAUUUAAAGCUGAUGACAAUAUUCAAAUAAUUUAUUUAGAUUCCAUCCUUAUAUUAUUGUAUUUUAAUUAUAUCUAUAAUGAAUUUUCAUGAAAUUUUUAUAAAAUGUUUAAGAGAUAAAAAUAUAUCAUUAUAGGAUAAUACUUUAUUCAAAUUAACUUAAAACUAUUGAUAUUUUUUCUUUUAAUUUUUUAUAAAUUAAUUUGAAAAAUGAAAAAUAAGAAAACUUAUUCAUUUAUCUAAUUUUUCCAAUUUUUCAUAUUUCAGUUUUCUUUUACUAUUUUUAAUUAAAACUUAUUUUUAUUACUUAAGGUACAUUAUAUUGAAAGAAAAAUAUUAUUUAUGUGCAACUGUAUAAAUAAUUUUAUGGGGUAAAUAUAAACUUUUAAUUUACGAUAACAUCAUACCUAAAAGUAAAUAUUAAAAAUAACUAUAACAAUUAAUUAAAAAAAUAAAGUGGCAUAAAAUUAAUUACUUUCAGACAACUUGCUUAUUUAUCUAUAAUUUUUUUUGUAACAGUGAAUUCUAUUGGAUAUCACAUAUAUAUAGACUAGGGGUGAGCAGUAUUCGGUUUAGACCGAAAUAACCAAUCGAACCGAUUAAUUUCGAAAAUUUAGUUCGGUUUUAUUUUUUUCGGUUCGAUUCGAUUUGAAAUUUUUAAAAAAUCGGUGAUUUCGGUUCGAUUCGGUUUUAGACGUAAAAAUUUCGAUUAGACCGAACCGAACCGAAAUCACCUAUACUACGUCGUUUUAAUAGUUCCCUAUUCCCUAUUUCCAUUCCCUUCCCUUCCCUUCCCUGCCCUAAAUCUAAAACAAAUUUCUAUCUCUUCGUGCGUGCCGCCAGUGCUCCUGCUCCAUCUUUAUCUCUGUGUUCAUCUCUGUGCUCUGCUCCAUCUCUCAUCUCUAUGCUCUGCUUCAUCUCUCAUCUCGCCGCGAGAUUCUCGCGCCUGUGCCUCCACUCUCCUCUCGACUGGACUGAUUCACCAUCGACGUCGGUCGUUGCUCUCUAUUGGCUCUCCACGCGUCGUCGGGCAGUGGACAAUCUCUCAUCUCUAUGCUCUACUCCAUCUCUCAUCUCGCCGCGAGAUUCUAGCACCUGUGCCUCCACUCUCCUCUCGACUGAACUGAUUCACCAUCGACAUUGGUCGUUGCUCUCUAUCGGCUCUCCACGUGUCGUCGGGCAGUCGGCAAUUUGGUCGUGCUUAUUCUACAGCCCUCAGUCCUCUCCGAGUAUCUAUGUCGCGUUUCCAGCCAUUCACGGUUGAAUUUGAGUAAACUGUAAAGGUAAGUAAAUAUUUAUGAUUUGCUGUUGAUUGUUGAAUUUGUGUACGUUUGAUUGUUGAAUUUGUGUGUUGAAUUUGUGUGCUGUUGAUUGUUGAAGUUGUGUGCUCUUGAUUGUAUCGAUUUAACCGAUCGAACCGAACCGAACCAAAUCGGUUUGAUUCGAUUAUCUCUCUUAUUUGGUGCGGUUCGAUUUAUGUAAAAUACUGCAAUUCGAUUUUCGAUUAUUUCGGUUCAGUUCUGAACCGAACCGACCGAAUGAUCACCCCUAAUAUAGACUAUAACAACUUUCAUCUGAACACUGAAUUCUAUUAAAAAUGGAAACAUGGAAAAAUAAUUUUUUGAAAAUUAUUAUUCUCGAUUAUAAUAAUAUUAAGAUAAUAAUUUUAUAAUAUUAUUACGAUACUGCUAUAUAAAUUUUAAUAUUUAGUAAUAUUAAAAUAAUACUUUUCAAAUAUUUUUUUAGGAGAGUAAGUGACUAAUAAUUAAAAGGAUCAAAAGUUAGUGGUUGAAAAUUUAUACUUUUCAAUAAUAUAUUUAUAUUUAUUUUUGUAAUUAUUUAAAAAAACUUAUAUUUACUGUGUAAUCCUAAUUAGUAUGACAUUAAUAUAUAAAUAUCAAGUCUUCUAUCUUCAGGAAAAAAAAAAAAGAACAUUCAUCUUUGUGGUUGAUGAAGAAAAUUAAUUACAGAAAGAACCAUGUACAUAUUUUAGAAAAUAAAAGCCAAGUCGAAGAGUGAUAAAAGCAGCGAUAUUUUAGAAAAUAAAAGAAAGAAUAAAACUUCGAGAGGGGUUUCUAAUUCCAUGAUUUUCAUUGUUUUCAUGAUUUGAGGUCUUUAAUUUCAAUUUUGGUCUACGGUUUACUUAGAAACUAAAAUUGAAUCGAAAUUUCGGUAUAUAGUUGAAUUUAAUUCCUUAUCAUUUUAGUUAUGUUUUAUUUCAAAUCUACAGUAAUAAAGUAAUGGGAAGGAGGAGCUACUCCUGCCAAAUGGGGCGGAAGUAGCCACCACACGGCGGAGAAAGUGGAGAGCUCUAGAAAGAAGAGGCAAAACUGAGAAAUUACAUCAAUGGUUGGAUUAGUGGACCACGCAUUGCUGGCCCGUUUUCGUUUAAGACCUGUUGCUUAAUUCCACCUGUAUGAAAAUAACGCUACUAGCUUUGGGAUUUCCAUUCAUCUUUUUCCAGUUUUGGAAUUCUCAAAAUUGAAGGAUUUUUUUUUUUUUAAAAAGAAAAAUAAUAUAUGGAUAAGUCUUGGAUGACUUUAAGAGGUUAAUUUUGUUGCUUAUUGGAGAAAAACAAAAGCAUACAUGAAUAAAACUCUCAUAUUUUAUUUUUUUUUGAAAUAGAGGUUGGGGGAGUCGAACCUUAGACCUCUCAAGACUACAAAGAUGCACUUUCCACCAGGUUAAGCCUCGAAGUGCAUUCUCAUAUUUUAUUUAUUUUUAUUUUUUAAAUUCAUACCUUUUAUAUUAUACGAGUUUUGAGUAAGAAUGAACUGUGGCAACAUUCUAUAAUUAAGUACAUACUUCUGCAAUGAUUGUGGUCUCUACACAGAUCUAACAACAAUUUCAAUGAAUUACUUAUUCUUUAUAUUUUUUAACAUUCCAAAAAAAAAAAAAAAAGAAAAAGUAAAACAACCCUCUGCAAUUCCAAAAUCAUUCAGAGGCUCUUAGGCACUUACAAGUAAUGAUUUUUUACAAGACAAAUCAUGGCAAAAUCAUUCCACAAACAAUUACUAAUAUCUUUUUAAUUUGUUAUAUAUUUAUAUAUGAUCUGAAAUGAUAACGCACUCUUUUAGAGAGCGAAAAAUCACUAUAGCUCCACACUUUUGGUUAUAAUUAGGAAAAAUUUACGAAAAUUUCCAACCAAUUCAUCAAUACUCUCCAAGAAAAAGAAACAAAACCACAACUAUCGAUCACAGCUUCACAAUUCCCUGCAGGAUAUCAUCUUUUGUUGAAGGUUCCAUGGCAUGGCACUCUCUACACGCCACCAAAAAUGACCUGAAAAAUCUCCGGCAAAUACCCGAUGACUUAUCUUUUUUCCCAUGUUGAUGAUCACCUUCUUUCUUUUUUAUCACCGCUGCAUUAUUUUUUCUCCUGGAAUCAUCACGUUUCAGGGCUGGCAUUGGCAUGACAUGUUGCCACCUUUGAGAAGAUCCAUAUAGCUGCUCCAUUAUAACUUUACUAGCCAUAGGAGUUUUUCUUGAAAGCUUUGUACUGUGAUAUAGUAAUCUCCUUUCAGAAUUGUCACUACUCCAACUUGUUCUUGCGCUGCUGCUACUCACACUGCUUCUACUGCUAUUAACACUGUUGCUUCUUGACGACAUGAGGGAACCUCUGCUGCUCAAGCUGCUGUUUCUACUAGAUGCUCGAGAGAUAGAUUCGAUAAGAACCAUGGACGUUGCUGGUGAUUGUUUUUGCUGUUGAAGUACUACUGGGAAAGAAUGAGGCAAGAGACGACCAUUGGAGAAAAGAUGAUCAGCUGGUGAGGACAUGUACGGAUCAUCAGUUGGAGGAAAAUCAGGUGUUAAACAACCGAAUUCGAAGUCGGAAUCUUGAUAUUGACUUGGAGUGCUAGGGAAGGAGAAAAUUUCUCUAGAGCUAGUCUUUUGAUGGUGGUGAUGCUCCAUGGGAGGUUUUUGGUGAAAGGGUGAUUUAAGCUUUGUAUAUAUAUGAAAGCUAUAAGGUAAAUGAUGAAGAAAAAUGUAUAUAUAUAUAUAUAUAUAUAAUUAUGUUAAAUUAUAGUGAAAAAUAAAAUAAUAAUGAAAGAUCUUUAUAUGCUUUUUGAUGGGUAGAAAUCACGAGGUCAAUACUUGCCAACUCAACCUCCAGUGAUCCAUGUACAUAAACAAGAAGUGAUUAGUUAAUGUGAGUGAAGUCUCUAAAGCUUGUUAUUGAAUAUAUACUUUUCUUUACUCGAUGUCCAAGGGCACAGCCUCCCAAAUAUACUCUUACAUAUAAAGCAAAAAAGACCUUUAAAGAAAGGAAGGUGGUCAAGCAACACGAGUACCAAUAACAAAAUGGUGGUGUUUGGGCUUCAAACUAAGGCCAUAAGCUAUGAUGGGAUCAACAAAAGUCUUUUCUUUUCUUUUCUUUUCUUUAUGCAGUGGAGCUGGGAAAGCUAUAAGAGAAAAUGACUAAAGAGUUUUUAAUGUGAAUUUUCUUGAUCACUGAUCUCCUCAAAAUGAGGACAAAUGAGCUCUUAGAAAAUUUGUUUUGUCUCCCAUUAGGGUUUCUAAGGAAACCUUUAGGUCCCAUAUGAGAUCAUGAUGCCUUAAGGACCACACAUCAUCCAGAUUUAUUUUUAUUCAUCAUGCCUUGAGGACCACAUAUCAUCCAGAUAUAGUCUUCUGUUUUCCCUCCCCACCAAGCAAGUUCUUUGUUGGUUCCCUUUGUUGAUACUCUAAUUAUGUCUUGUGGUAGGUCUACAUGUUAUUAAAGAUUUUUGUUUCAAUUUAUUUCUUUGACCAUUAACCAAAUUUUUGACUUGAAAUUCUUUUCUUUUUAUAAUUAUUAAUAUGCCUCGUUUAGGUUAUGCACUCGAUUGAAGUUCUGAUUUCAGCUUGGGUGUACCACUUGCAUGUAAUACUAGUAAAGCUGCUUCCUAAGUAUAUAUGAACGAUUAUUUUCAACUUUCUCUUUUUUUUUUUUUUUCUAUUUUUUCCUCUAAACAGUGAUAGUUAAAAGUUUAUUGCCAUAACUGGUUUUGAUUUACAUCGAUCAAACUCAUCAUAAGAGAAUAUAGUGUUGCUUUCUGAGUUUUAUAAUUGUAUUUAGGAUUCAAAUUUAAGAUCACUGAUUAAAUAAAAAAGUAGCUUAUAUUAUUCCACCGAUUAAAAAAAUAGCCGUGACAUGAGAGAAAUAUUUAUUCUGAUAGGAGUUUAAAAGGAUGUCAUAUAUGAUGUAAUAAAAAGAUUACAUAAUACAUUAAUUUAGAUGCUCAAUAUAUUAAAAAAAAAUUGAGUGAUGCUUUAUAAGGGCUUAAUGUACGUGUAUAUGUAGACACGUACAUAUUUUUUUAGGGACUAUGCCCUUAUGAGAGAGUGGGACUUCAACUUGGUCUAUUGGUGAAUGGGCCAGCUCAUUCUCUAAAAUGGCUAAGCCAUAUCUUAGACUAACUCCAAAUGAUGAGUAUUCUAUUCCUCAAAUUCAAUUGGAUUUUAGUCCACAUGCUUAAUUAUCAUUUGGCAUAUAUGUGGUGGCUCAUGUACUUGGAUCUGGCUCCUUGUGGCUUCACCCUCAAGGUCUAGCCUCUUUAACUAAGCUCAUGGGCCCGGUUCAUUACAGCCUAACCUUCUAUUAUAUUCCAUACCAUGCUUGUUUAGCAUUUAAGUCGGUAGAAGAAGUGAGGCUCAAUUUUGAGUAAGGGAUAGAAAAUAAAUAGUAUCGAGUUAAAAUUUUUCAUCUAUUUAUUUAAUUUCUUUUAGUUGUAUAUCUCGUAAAUUGUUUUUAGUUAUUGUGGCAAUGCAUAAGAAAAGAAAGCUAAAUUUUAAAAUGCACAUUUAAAUUUAAAUUAAUAGCGUAAGGAGAAAACCAAACCCGAAAUAGGUGUCUUGUGUCCGUACCCAAUUUGAUGGGACCAAUCCAUGACCACGAGGAGGCCCAAUUCUGCCGCGAAAUUCAACAUGCGAUUCGCAACUCUUUCUUCGUCGUCAACUGUUGGAAGAUCCUCAUCUCCUCCUUUUUAGUUUUACACCACUCUCCCUUUCGUUCACUCUUGGCCACUGUGAUCCUUGACUUCCAUAUCCAUUUCUCUCCAAACCUCCUAUAUAUUUGUAGCUGAGCUUCACCCAAAAAGCAAUGGCUGGCAAAGAAAUCUUACACAAGAUGAAGGUAUUUUUGCUCUCAUUCACUCCGUAUUUUUCAAUAUGUUCUCUGUAAGCACUAUUCAACAGCUUCUUAACACUUUCUUGCUAAGACUGGAUAUGCUGAGUUUGAGUUGAGACAUUUUCUCCACUCUUGAUUAUUCUGUCCCUUGGAUCUGGUUGAUUUUAUGGUAUCUGUGUAGAGAAUUUUGUCUGUUUGUUUGUUUGUUUGUUUGUACUCCUUUCAAUUGGGGGACUGGAAUGUGUGUGCUUGAGAUUCAAUUAGGUGAUUUUUUAGAUUUUGUUCUAUUGUUUGAGAUCACUACCAGAUGGGUUGCUGAUACUCUGGAGCCUAGAGAAGUUCUUUAAAUUUUCUACUCUGAGGAUGCGUUCUGUUGCAAUACAAGUAAGUUAUAUGGUGUGGAUUAGUGAACAAUUGAUAGGGAGCUAGCUGACGGGUUGGAAUUGAUGUGUAGUUAAUGAGUCAGUUAAGCUCCAACUAUAAAAGAACUUGUAACUGUAUUGAGAACUUUUUCUGGAAUUGUUUAAUGAGAAGGAUUGUGUACUGUGGCGACAUUUCCUCUAUUUUCUUGUUUCUUUCAUUUUUGUAUCACAACAAUUGGAAUCAGAGCUGUUGAUUCGCUGCAAUGGCAGGGAAGCUUGCUCUUGUGAAUGGAACUAGAGGUUUCUUGAUUCUUCUUUCUAGUUUUCUCUUCAGCUCAAUCCCCGUUUCUAUUUCUUGACUUCUAUGUUUCCAUUUCUAUUUUUGUAUUCUUCCUCGUAUUUUCUAGUUGUUUUCUUGAUUCUUUCUCUAGUUUCCAUGCUUGAAUCAAUUUUUUUUCUCUUCAUCUUUCUCUUAAAUUUCAUUUCUCAUUUGCAACAAGAAUCAUGGAUCAUUUCCUCUUGAAAUCACAAGGACAACGUCAGAGUUGGAUGAUAGAAGAUGUAAUGGUUUGUGUUUACGUUGUGAAGAAACUUAUUCAUUGGGUCUCAAUUGUGACAACUGAAAAGGCACCAUUGUGACCAUUAUUGAUGAUGAAGAAGAUAAAGAAGAUGAGAAACUAGAGAUUGCAGAGAAGGUAGAUGUAGUAUUUUCAGACACAAUCAUACCUGACUCUGAAUCACAAUUUGUUGCUAUUUGAACCUCGUGAACCUGCUCCUCAUGAAAUGACAAUGAAUUCAGUUGACAGCCUGCAGGAGGAGAUCUUAGAAGUGAGGCUUGCUGAAACUCAUAGUCAUGGUGGGCCAUGAAAGUUGAAAAGAUGACGUUUUGGGAAAACUGGAGUGUGGAAAUGAGGGGGCAAAGUUUGGCUUGAUUAAAUCAGCUCCUCUUUCAAGAGGGAAAAUAAAUGGGAAAUGUGGAGUUUGUGCAAGAGGAAGAUAUAGGAGUGUCUUCAAUGUUUAUAGGCGCUGGUAAAGCAUUUGCCAAACAGUUGGAUGAUAGUAAAAAAGUCAGCUGUCCUUCGAAAGUUCUUUGCAGUGUGUCUUGUGAUAGUUCGGGUCUCUUGCAACUUCAGCCGCUUCCUAUUGUGGCUGCAAUUGCUGCUGAGCAAAUAUGGAUUUUUUGGGGUUCAUUAGUUUGUUGUGACUUCAUUUCUAGAGAAAGAGAUUUAAAGUUAAAAGGCAUAAAUGUGGUGAAAUCAUAUCCGGGAAGAAUCAAACUUAGAUGUUCAAGUGUCAAGACCAAUUGGACAUUUGGAAAUAGUAAAAUGCAAGAUGAAGCACUGUAAAUUCCAAAAAGAUUCAAUUGGGCAUUUGGAAAUGAUAAAAUGCAAGAUGAAGUUCUUCAAAUUGCAAAGAAAAUUCAGUUUCAAUAUGCUGGUGAUUCUCAGCUUCGGUAUCCAAAUUGGCUCUUGAGGUCAAGUAGCUUUUCGAGGGAGUGAGUAUUGUUGUAAUACAAAUAAGUGAUACGGUGUGGAUUAGUGAAUAAUUGAUAAAGAGCUAAUGGGCGAUUGCAGAGUAGUUAGUUAGUCAAUUAGGCUCUGGCUAUAAAAGGACUUGUAAGUGUAUUGAGAAUUUAUUCUGGAAUUGAUAAUGAGAAGGAUUGUGUGCCGUUGAGCCUUUUCCUCUGUUUUCUUCUUUCCAUUUUGUAUGGCAACAGUUUUUGGGAAAUUCCAGUUACUAGGUGACAUUUGUUCCUGAACCUGAAAGAUUUGAAAGUACAUUCAAUACAAGAAUAAACAUCAAUGACUUAGAGCUUCAAUUUUUUUUCCCCCUGAGCUUUGUCUUUUCUUUUUUAGGUGAUCAAUUUGAUUUCUUGCGGAUGGAAUUUGUUUCAUUAUCACACGCACACAAAAAGAGGGUUCGAUCUUGACUAUAAUUUAUGUUUUACUUCACAAUUCACAUAUGAGGUAAUUUUUAGUAUAUAUUGUCGUGCACCCUGCACUAGGAGCCAAGAACAUGCCAAUUUGCUCUUUUACAUUUCCAAUUGCUUCUCUUUAUGUGUCCCCGUUGUUAUCUUUGGUAAUCAGUUAUUUGUGAGUGGUCAAUCUCCAAUUAAUUUUAAACAAGUAUGGGAGUACACAUUUUGUGAGUUCUGGAAGUGCUAUAUUGUAGCUGGCUUUGCUGGUUUUCAGCUAUAUUUGAUAUUUUAUUAUGCUUUAAUUUUCUGGUGGACUAUUUUUCAUUUGAAUUACCUCUUUGAAUAUGCAUAUCACAGGAAAAAGUUGGAUUAUGUUCAUCUACAGCCUCUGGAAAGGGCAAGAGUAAGAUGUCAAAGAAUGUAACACAUGGCUUUCACUUGGUGAAGGGAAAAUCACAUCAUGCCAUGGAAGAUUAUGUUGUUGCUCAAUUUAAGCAAGCUGGUAACAAUGAGCUUGGUUUGUUUGCCAUAUUUGAUGGUCAUCUGAGCCAUGUUAUUCCUGAUUAUUUGAGAUUGAAUUUGUUUGACAAUAUCUUAAAAGAGGUAAGUCAUGCUGUUUGCUUUUCAUGCUGCUGUUAAACUUCUUAAUCACUGUGGACACUGUUUUAUGUUUUUGAUUCAAUGGGGAGCUAAACAGCUCAAACCUAGGAUCUCUACCCAAAUCACCUCCCCACUCUCCCUCUAGCAGAACCACCUGAACUAAAUUACUUACGAGCUUUAAACUAUACCCUUGGGUUCCCUCUCUCUGUGGGUUUAGAUCUAUGAACUAUCAGUUGUGCUAAUGUGGAUUGUAGAAUUGCCAUUUCAAUUUGAAUUAUAUAAAUUCUUGCUGAAAUAUAGAUCAUUUCAUAAUCUGUGAAGUCUACAGUGGCAUCCCAGUUUGCUCUCUCUGUCUCUCUCUCUCUCUCAUAUUCAAAACCUUUUUUUUGUCUAGAUUAAAACCCCAUCCAUUUUGCAAAAACUACUGUUGUGUAGAUAUUUUCUGAUAGUUGGUCUUUACAUUGAGAAUCAAUCAAACUUAUUUCUGGCAUUUCAAGUACACUAGAAAAAUUGCUCCGACAAAGAAGACCAUUAGAAUGUUUUGACCUAGAGGGUUCUGUAUUUUUUUUUUCUGAUGGAGAAUAUUGUGAGAAUGUCUGGACCCUGAGGUUUAUAUGUUCUCAAAAUUGGUUUAAUAUAUUUCAAUGAAAUGACAAUUUGAUUAAAUAGAAGGUAAAUUAUUGUGGCCAAUGGCUAUCGAAAAUAACUUGUGAUAAUUGAUGGUAGUUAGACUAGUGGGUGUUUGAUGGUGAGCUUAUUGACAUUUUCGAUAGUCAAAAUUUUCCAGCAUUCCUAAAACACUAUUUCCAUGUUUGAAAUCAAGAAAUUUAUAAAAAUUCAAGUCAAUUGAUUUUUUUUUUACCAAUUCUUGUGCUUGGAAUGAAAGAACUUAAUUCUUUUUAACUUGGAAAUAUUCUCAUUUCAAAAGAAAUAAUAGUAUUCAUGCAUGAUUAUAUCAUUUAAAUCAUUUUCUUGCAGAUGAUUUAUUACAAAUGAAGCAUAUAAGGCACAAAUAAUGUUUUAAUCAAAAUAUUUUCUAUGAAACAAAAUGGAGCCUAAAAACGAGUACUAAUUUUCAUGUUUAUGCUUUCAGCAUGCAGUUGGCAUAGCUAAAUUUGAGGAAAUAAAUCUGUUUUUUUCUUUUUCAAUUUUUUCCUGCGAGUAGCCAGACUUCUGGAAAGAGCCAGAAAAUGCCAUGAGGAGAGCAUAUCAUAUUACUGAUACUACUAUUUUGGACAAAUCAGCUGAUUUGGGUAGGGGGGGUUCUACUGCAGUCACGGCAAUAUUAAUCAACUGUCAGAUGCUGGUAGUGGCCAAUGUUGGUGAUUCUCGAGCUGUUAUCUGCAAGAAUGGCAUGGCCAAGCAACUCUCUGUUGAUCAUGAACCAAGUGUAGAAAGGAAGGAUAUUGAGAACAGAGGUGGUUUUGUAUCCAAUUUCCCAGGUAAGAACUUCACCAGAUAAAGGGAAACAUGGUUAUGCGAGUUUUUGACUCCCACAUGAACAUUAUUAUUACACCAUUUAAAAGUAUAUAGUUUGAAUUAAGAGUUUUAGCAUCAUAAGCACUGUCUAUUGUUGCUCUGCACAAUGCCCAUUGGAAUAUUGAGAAAUGCGUUCAACUUGAUGAUGAUUCUCUUUAACAGGAGAACAUGGGGUUGGUUAUCUUUUUGGUGUGCCAUUCGAAAAUUAUCUAUGCCCUUAUAUCAAACUGGUGAAGUCCUGUGUUCUGAGUAACACUAACCAACCUCACAUGUUUGCACACCUUUCCUUUGCUGUCGUUUACUUGUUACUUAUUUCUGUCAUGGGUUGAAGUUGAUAUCCUAUAAGAUUGUCAGCCAUGUGAUUGGUUGUUACCUUUGCGGUUUGUCCUAGUUUUUGUUGGCCAGCAGUAAAAUAUAAAUUUUAUGCAUUCAGGGGAUGUUCCACGUGUUGAUGGGCAAUUGGCGGUGGCAAGGGCAUUUGGUGACAAGAGCUUGAAAAAGCAUCUUAGCUCAGAGCCGGAUAUCACAAAGGAAGUGAUUGAUGAGGACACAGAAUUUAUUAUCUUAGCUAGUGAUGGAUUGUGGAAGGUUGGUCCUAUGGAGAACUUUCACUAAACUUUAAAUGUCUUCUGCCUUGACCUUUGUUGCGAUGAUACAACUUUUUGUUUCCCCCUGGAAAAAGUAUUAAAUAAAAUCUGUUCUUCUGGUAUGAUGCCAGGUGAUGUCAAACCAGGAAGCAGCAGAUGCUAUUAAGGACAUAAAGGACGCUCGUUUGGCAGCAAAACACCUUGUAGAAGAGGCACUUAAUAGGAAGAGCAAAGAUGACAUUUCCUGCAUAGUUGUAAAAUUUCAGUGAUCUCUGAACUCCUCUUGGAUUAUUCGUUUGAUGAAUAAUUCCCAGAUACCUGUAAUUUUCCUGUAACAUUAAUAAACCUUGUAAUAUUUAUUUUCUGCCUCUUCUGUAGUAGUUCUGGUCUUCUAUUGCAGGAAGAGCUUGCCUGCUGUAUUUGGAAGUUGGAGUACAGAUUUCUGGUUUUGAUCUUCUCAUCAACUGUUGAUAGUAAUGUAAGGGGUUGAGCUUGCUGGUUCUUGGGUUCUUGUCUCGGUUGGUUUCCCCCUUUCUGUAUUACAUUCUCGCUUAUAAAAAAAACUACUUAAAAAUUUAUUUAAAUCAUUUUUCAAUUUUAUUUUAGAUAAUAGAAAAUAAACUCGUACAAAGUAUUUCAGUCUUGAAGAUGCGAACUGAAAAUAAUCAAUGAUCAUAUUAAAGGUGAUGCAGCUUUGAAACUAAACAGUAGUCCUGUAUUUUUCAAGGUUACUGUUUUCUUAUUUGAUUAUGCACAUUCUUUUAUAUUGAAUUAUAUCUUGUCAACUCUGCCAUAGUUGCUGAUGGAUACUGACAACUAUCUUCCUCUGUUUUUUCUCCUUCAAAGUUGAAAUGGCCUCAUCUCUGAGAUGGAAGAUUCCCUCCUGAACAGCAAAUUCCCAGCAGGUUUAUCUUAUUACUUCACUCAUCUUCCUCCAGCCCUUUCCUUUGUAGCGCUUUUGAGAACGAUUCUCUUUUAAUAUGCUAUUACUAGUCUUUUCAUUCAAACUUCUAAGGAUUCUUCCCAAUGAACCCGUCAAAAUAAACAAAAAUACAGACUAAUUAUGGUAGUUUGAAUCUUCUGCACUCUUGCACUGCGAUACGUACACUCCAUCACUAUAAGAUAGAUAAUUUACAAUGUUGAAAUUCAAUGAUGAAGUCCAAACAUUUCAGGCCAACUUGAGUCUGAGUGGUGCUCCACCCUUGGAAAAGGAUUCCUCAUUAUUGUAGCAAAGGAAGAAUGAAGAGCCUUACCAAAUUCAUAUAUGACCAAAUGAAAGUUCAAAAGAUAAUAUUAGCUAGUCAUUCCAAAGCAAUCAACAACAUUAUAUAUAGAAUAACAAGUACAAGAGUGAAAUUCCAGAAAGCACUAGCACAUGUAUAUUAUAUAAUAGAGACUCCAAUCCAUUCUCUUUUAAUAAGAAAUUUCGAGUUCGAAUCUAAGUUUGGAAUACAUUGAAAACUGAGAAUUUGAAAACCGAGAAUGAGUCUAUCCAAUGCGAAUCCAAAUUAGUUGAGCCAGUCGAUUACGAAUAUCAAAAGAUAUAUACCCAAAAUAUAUAUAUAAGAUUUAGGACAAUAAACAUCAUAUCAAACACAUACCACUUAAUUAUAAAAGUCUAGUUUGCAUGAUGUAAUAUAUAAGAAUACAAUAACUACAUAUGACAUACAACAACAUGAAGUGAAAGCAAACUUGCCUCAACUUCCACAUAAUGAUUCAUGAUAUAUUGUCCUUAUAUUCUUGUAGAUAUAAUAUAUAUAGCAUACUGAAAGUGCUUGAAGCUAGGCAUAAGAUGACAGAAGAGAGGGAGCAUGGUGGGGUUCUUUGUUCACAGGAUUUGGGAUCGUUUGUAAGUAGCAGAAUUAUUCCCUGGUAUGGUUAUAUGAUAUUUGCCUCUUUCAUCAGCUUGCCUGAACUGGCUUUCCUUUAACUGAGCCUGUCCACCAAACAACCCUUUGCGGCCGCUGGACCCUUCCCCGUAGGAUUCAGCUGAGCUCUUCCUUCGCCUCUCGUUGUGUCCUGCCAAACGCCUGCGGCAACUCCUUUUUGCUUCAUCAAACUCUGACAGCUCAUGGAACCUUAAAAAGCUCAAAUAACAUUAGGUAAAUGGAAUAAUAUGAAUAUUCUUGUCUGUUCAAAUGCACUUUUACAAGAGAAAUCAUGUCAUUUUAAUUAUAAAUAUGAAAAUGCACAUGAAAUUUAAAAGCACAUGUUUACCUGCUGCAUUGUUGACAAAACCUCUGCCUAAUGCCAGAAACAAUGACUGCUGGUGCCUUUGCAUGAAUCUCACACACCUUAUGUCGCCUGUGGUACCUCUUAGCCUCGGUUAAAUCAGCUCCACAUCUCUCCACCUGGCAAGACGGCGACGAUGACCCGCCGCUGCUGCCACCUCCACCACUAUUCCCUCUCUUCCCAUGCACCAUACCAACUCCUUUUUUCUUCUCAUCAUCAACAAACCCACCACUUCCGUCUUCUUCUUCCAUAUCAUCAUCUAAAUCUUCAUCAACAAUGCAAUCAUCUUUGAACAUCACUCUUUCUCUGGAACUGCGCUUCCCUUCAUGUGCUUUGGCAUCCAUUGUUAAAGAGUUGGCUGGGCAAAUGAAUAUGUGGUACUUGAAGUACUUAAAGGAAGGCUUGAGAGAGAGAGAAAGAGAGAGAGGACACAAGGGUGAUAAAGAUGGAUGGAGGACCACAAAGCUACACUUAUAUAUAUUCUUGGGUGUUUGUAUUGAGUGUAUGUGCGUGUUUAUGUCAGUGAAAAAAGUGGAUCAUUGCAAGUUUUGAAAGAAAGAAUUAAAAGAAAGAAAAGGGUUUGUAGUUAAGCUUCUUUUUCUGCCUAAAUCUUGUUCUUGGGGGUUAUAGAGUGAUAGUUUCAUUUGGUACUGAAGCUUGUGCUGUGCUCACUCUCAAUUAUUGAUCCCAAAGGUGGUCCUGCCUCUGAAAAUUAUUUUUAAGAUUUGUUAUUUAUAUAUGCAUUCUUAUUAAGCCACCCAAGCCCUAAUAUGAGUGAGUAUCGAGUUCUGGUAUAUAUACCUGAAUCAUCAAUGAAUUAUUUCAACACUCUAUCUAUGUUUUGAUAACUAAUGCCUCCUCGUUGGAAACCACUUCAAUCUCAUAUUUUGUAAUUUUUUUUUCUAGAAAACCAUAUAACUUGCCUAGAAUACACCAUGUAUCACCUCUAAGUAUAUGGUCACUCACAAAAAAUCAGUUUUUUAUCAACUCAAAAAAAUACAUAUGAUCCAAAACAUCGAUAUGGAAAUAACAUGAAAGCAUCAAUGAUGCUUAAUAUUAAAGAGAAUUAGCCUUUUUCUCCAAAUAUAUACUAUAAUUUUAUUAAUGAAUAAAUCAGAAAAAAACUUAUUAAUGUGGAUGUGUAUAAAUGUCCAAAGAAAUUUGAUUUUUUUAAAAAAGGUUUUAGGACAGAGAAAGAAGUGAAAAACAAUGUGAAGUGAUAAUAGUGGUUGGCAGAGGUAUGUGAAGGACACAUCAGAAUUUUGAUUGUAGUGUUAAAUGUAGGGUACGGCACCAGUGCAAUGGUUGCACAAAAUUCUGCUUCUUUAAGUUGGACAUGCAGAGUUCCCUAUGCUUCAUCUCUUCUCUUUUCUUUUACACCCAUGCCCAUGGACCUUUAUUCUCUCUCUCUCUCUCUCCUUUUUGUUCUUCUGUCGUUAUUACAAGAUGUGAGAUUUGAUUUCAUGUGCAUGAAUCAUCAAUCAUCAUCUUUUAAUUAUUAAACUAGAUUCUAUUACAAUCGAUGUUAAUAUAGCUUAUAUCAUAUGUUUGUAUUCAUACAGCCUAGCUUUCAUGAUUUUCUUUUAGGUAAAUUAGAUUAAAAAAUUUAAAUUUUUAUAUAAAAUUUUAAUUAUAUCUAUUUAUUUUUGUAUAAAAUAAUUAAACUUUUGAGAUUAGUUACAAUUAUCUUUAUAUUUUUAAAUUAAUUUAACUAAAAAAUUUAUCAAUAUUUAUGAUCUAUAAUUAUUUUGUUAUCAUCAGCAUAAUUAAUUCACUAAUCGAGAAAUUUAGACGAAUUUGACAAUCACUUUAAAAAAAAUAAGUUCAAUUUUAACUGACAUAAUAAUCGAUUAAGUAAGCUAGUUUAAAAGUAAAAUCUAAAGAAUAUAAAUUUAAAAAUUAUAUCGCAUUAAUAAAAUAUUAUUAAAAUUUAAAAAUAAUUUUUGAAUAAUCCAUGUAGAAAAUGAUAAAAGUAAAAUUACGAUAAUAAGAGAAGGUUAAUUGGAAUUUAUAUUUCUUGAACUCAAAUGAGAAGUUACAUUAGUUCAUAUUGAGUGUUUUUAUGAAUUUUAUUCGUGGAGUAAAGUUGAAGCAAAAUAAGAGGAGAAAAUUGAGAUAAAUUGUAAUUAAAUGUUGAUUAAAAAGUUUGAUGAUGUGAUAAUUAAUUUAAAUUAAAAAAAAGUCACCUAUUAAUGGAUAUUUUUUUUUAUCAAAAUUAAUUUAGAGAAAUGGAUACAAUAAUAACUAAUUUCAAAUUUCAAAAAGAUUCAAUAUUUUACAUAAUAAUUAAAAAAAUAAAUAUAAUUAAAAAUUCACAUAAAAAUUUAAAUUAUUUAGUUCAAUAGGCCUUUCUUUUAUAAUGAAAAUCAGAAUCUACCAUUUUUUUUCACAUUUUCUUUUUUUCAAGAAAUUUGUUGGUAUAAACCAAACUCACUACCUGAUUUACAAAAUAACGUUAAAAUUAAUGGCCUUUCACCUCCUACUUGUUCUAUACCUUUCAAAUUAUUUCACAGAGUCAGACUAAAGUCAAAGCAUAACAAGACUUGACGGUUUUAGCCUUUAGAAUUUGUUUUUUGAAAUGAAAAUUAAGGGAAUAAAAUUAAAAUCUCUCAAACUUAUUUAAAUACACUUAUUAUCAGAUUAAAACUAAGACUGUGCAGCAUUUAAAAUUUAUAAUUAUAUAUAUUAUAAUAUUUUUAUAAUUUUAUAUAUUUAUACCAUUUAAUUCUUUAAUUAAAUGUAAAAUUAGAUGGUUAAUAUUUAUUGACAUAAAAAUUAAAUAAUUUAAUUUUAUAAAACAUAUGAACAUGUAAUUAAAUAUAUUUUUAAAAAAAAUUAAAGAUCUAAUAACAAGUAUGGCUAUGGUUAUAGGAGGAAGGAAUUGAAGUGCAUAUAAAUAAAAAUUAAAUUACAAAUUUUUUUUUAAAAUUUUUUUUGAGGAAAGUAAAAAAUAGUAGCAGGAGAUAUGAUUAUAUGAUAGGACCCCACACAAGUUUUUCACGUGGCUACCGUGCCAUCAAAAAUUGCAUCCAGGACAUGACAAAGACAUCACACUCACUACUUAUAUUGAUAGAAUCAAAUUAAAAAUUGAAGUUAUUGAUAAAUAAUAAUUGAGAAAUUUUAAUCAUAUAAAAAAAUUAAAUAAAUUUAAUUUGAUAGUGAAUGUAUUUAGAUAAAUUUAAAAGAUUUUAAAUUUUAAUUUUUUAAUUUUUAAUUUUCAAUUAAAAAAAUUAAAUUUUAUUUUAUUUUUACAUGAUUAUUAAGAAGCAAUUAAUGAUUUAAAGUGGAAAAAGAAAGAUAGAAGAGUAAAAAAAAGAAGAGAGAAUCAUGGGUGAGUUUUGAUUAAAAUUGGAAUUUAUGCUGGGGAUAGGAUUCCUGACCAUCAUUAGAGUUGAAAUUGCCAAAACAACAACAACUAAAAAGAUAAAAGAAUAAAAAAAAUAUUGACCAAUAGAAAGGUCACAAAAAUUUUUGGACGAAUAAAAAAAAAAAAAAAAUCAAUGGUCAUUUAUNNNNNNNNNNNNNNNNNNNNNNNNNNNNNNNNNNNNNNNNNNNNNNNNNNNNNNNNNNNNNNNNNNNNNNNNNNNNNNNNNNNNNNNNNNNNNNNNNNNNNNNNNNNNNNNNNNNNNNNNNNNNNNNNNNNNNNNNNNNNNNNNNNNNNNNNNNNNNNNNNNNNNNNNNNNNNNNNNNNNNNNNNNNNNNNNNNNNNNNNNNNNNNNNNNNNNNNNNNNNNNNNNNNNNNNNNNNNNNNNNNNNNNNNNNNNNNNNNNNNNNNNNNNNNNNNNNNNNNNNNNNNNNNNNNNNNNNNNNNNNNNNNNNNNNNNNNNNNNNNNNNNNNNNNNNNNNNNNNNNNNNNNNNNNNNNNNNNNNNNNNNNNNNNNNNNNNNNNNNNNNNNNNNNNNNNNNNNNNNNNNNNNNNNNNNNNNNNNNNNNNNNNNNNNNNNNNNNNNNNNNNNNNNNNNNNNNNUUAUUAUUAUAAGUUUGGUGGUACAUUGAGUCUUUUUAUUUUUUUUUUAUUUUUUAAUAUAAUUUUAUUUUUUAUUAAAAAAUAAUUUUUUCAAAGUUUUGUUAAAAAAUAUUAUUAUGUAAAAAUUCAUUUAAAUCAUCUUCCUAUAAAAUAAUAGUUUCAGAGAGAAUUAUGUUUAUAAAAAAAUUUAAAUUAAAUAUAAAUAAAAACAGUUACAUCUGUCAAAAUAAUCCGAACCAAAACUAGAAUAAAGAAAGAAAAAAUUCUGCGUAGUAUCUAAGCAUAUAAAAAAUUCAAUUUCAAUAAAAGAAUUUUUUUUAGAACAAAAAUCUACAUCAAAUACCCUAAUUUUAAAAUCGACAAUAAUUGUAUCCGAAAUUCAAAAUCAAUUUGUAGAAAAUUAAAAUUUUCUUACUAUGAAUGCUAAAUAUGUACUAAUUUAAUAAAAUAUAUGGUGUUUUCUAUGUGUACAAAAUAAAUCAUAAGUGAAUGCAUACUUUUUUUUAAUUAUUUUUCUUUCAACCACGUAUUGCUACUCUUGAUUUUUAUUUAAAAAGUCACUUUGUAUUUCACUUUUACUUGCAUUAUAUUUAAUACAAGUUUUAUAAAUGUAUUUAUUUAAUUAUUAUAUUUGCAUUAAAAAAUACCGUUGAAUUUUAUAUCAGUUUAGACACUCCUUAAACUUAAAUUAAUUUUUCUUUUAAAUUAAAGCCGAACGAAAUUUAAUAUAUAUUUUUUCCUUUCAGAUAUAUCAAUUUUAUACAAAUAAAACUAUUAAGGCUUUCAAAUUUUAAUCGACCGACAUGUGAUGCACACGUAAUAAGAAGAUUAAACAUAUUAAAAUAUUAUCAUUAUUAAAAUUUAUAUAAUUAUAAAAUUAAAUAAAAUAUAUUAAUUUCUUUUAAUUUUUUUCAUCUCGUCAUUAGAAAAAAUCCAUUAAAUGGAGUAUUGCUAAUUAAAAAAUUAAACUAGAACCUCCUAAGAAUAUGAGAUGAGGCUAAUUUACUCUGGAAAUUUUAGUUUAAGGAGAAAUAACACUUAAAAAUAUAAAGAGUGUAUUACUCUAUUUUAAAUUAAUAUGAGAAUUUAAUAUACCUUCUCACACUUAAAAUUAAAUAUUCGGAGCAUGAUGUUCUGAUAAUAAAUUCAAUAUUUAAUAGGAGACUAAUACUAUUUUAAAAAAUAAAUCGUGUCUAUUUUAUUCAUAAAAAUUAAUUUAAAAAGAAAAAGAUUAUCUUAGAUUACAAGAGACACGUUACCUUAUCUUAAAUUAAUGUAAAAUUUAACUUUGCAUUUCGCCAUUAAAAAUGACUGACAUAAUUACGGGCCGAUAUCGUUUUAUUAUGCAUUAUUAAAAAAAAAUCUUUAUCAACAUCGUUCAUGACAGUGCCAAACGUGAUUAGUAUAAAUUAUCUUAUAAUGAAGUUAAAUAGUUAUAUUUUAUAAAUUUUAUUAUUGAUAUUGUUAAAAAUUAAAUAUGUAAUUACACUUCUAAAAAAUUCAGAUGUGAAAAUGAAAAAGAAAUAAAGUGAGAGUGCAAAAUAGUUGUCAGAUAAAGAUAAUUGGAAUUGCAGUUAUAGGUCAUUUUCGAUUUGCACAUAGGAAAAAAAUGAAUAUUGGAAUUAUGUUUAGUUGUUUUUUAGUGCCAAACGUGAUUAGUAUAAAUUAUCUUAUAAUGAAGUUAAAUAGUUAUAUUUUAUAAAUUUUAUUAUUGAUAUUGUUAAAAAUUAAAUAUGUAAUUACACUUCUAAAAAAUUCAGAUGUGAAAAUGAAAAAGAAAUAAAGUGAGAGGGCAAAAUAGUUGUCAGAUAAAGAUAAUUGGAAUUGCAGUUAUAGGUCAUUUUCGAUUUGCACAUAGGAAAAAAAUGAAUAUUGGAAUUAUGUUUAGUUGUUUUUUUUUUUUUUUUUUUUGAAAUGGUAUGUUUAGUUGCUUUCUAUUCAUGUUUAGAUCAAUCUUUUCCAGCUGGAAUUUUAUUUGGAAAUUAAAUGAACAAAGUAGAGAGCGUAUCAGAUUCUAUGAGUUUUUAUUUUUGUUUGAAACAUGCAAAUCGACAAAAUUUAUGCACUUUGAGGAUAGAAUGCUAAAUGUGAGACAGCUGCCUCUUCUCUCAAUUUAUUCACGUUCCUUAUAUUUUUGGCCAAAAAAUUAUUUAUAUUUUUUUAAUAUUUUUGGUAUUUUUAUAUUUUUAAUUCUACAAUGAUAAAUACUUUUAAUAUUUAAGCAAUUUAAUUACUAUUGUUAAUAUUUAAUUUUUUAAUUUUUAGUAUUAAAAAUAAAAGAAUUAUGAAAUAUUAGAAUAAACCACCAGAACAUAUUAUAUUUUAUAUAUAUAUCAAAUGUUGAUAGUAACCCACCAAAAACUUACAAAAAAAAAAAAGAAGGAAAAUUCAGAUGAAGAAUUGGGAAAACAAAGAAGCUAGGUAGAACCAGCUUUAUCCCAGAGUUUGUAUGCCCUUGUUAGGCUAGAUCAUGACAUAUGGGUCAAUUCAUUGAAAUAGGGCUUUUGCUUUGGCAAACUCUUACUUCAGGGAGUUCAUAAAUUGGUUUGGGCCUUCAAAUUAAAAUUUAUUUUAAUUGUUUAAAGUGCAAUUAUUUUCCACUUCACUGUUAUAAAACUAUAUUGAUUAGAAAAUUUGAUGAUGAGAAUUGAUAGCCCUUUUGAGAAACCCUUCACUGCUAGCUUUGAAACAAUUGAUUGCAACACAAAAUUGAAGAGAGGAUUUUGAUGUGGAACAAACAGCAACGCCUUAGAAUUGAGGACUUGCAAAAUCCAGUAUGCAAUUGCCAUGGUGCAGUGGUGAAAUGAUGACAGGAGUAGUAGCAAUUAGGGUUUGAUAUGAAUUGGGGUAAUUUAAUAAUUUUUAGUUAGAUUUAGAUAAAUUUAAAUAAAAAGUUUUAAUCAGUCAUAUUAAAACUAAUAUAUUUGAUUUAAUCACCAAAAUGAAAAUACAUUUUUUAUUGGUUUAUGCCAAUUAAUUAAUUAAUAAUAAUAAUAAUAAAUAAUUCAUUAAUCAACUUAUUUAUUUGUUAAUUUAUUUUUAACAAUUCUUUUCUGUGGUAUUAGAAGGAAAAGGUACGGCAAGUGGAAAAAUAUGGCGGAGACCAAGAUAAUAGGCGUCGUUGGCAGUGGCCAGAUGGGCUCUGGUAUCGCGCAACUUGCCGCCGUAUACGGGCUCGAUGUCUUGCUCCUUGACACGGAUCUUGCUGCUCUCUCCAGAGCUAGAAAAUCUAUUGCCGGUAACAUCCAGCGUCUCGUCUCCAAAGGUCACCUCUCUCAGGUCAAUCAAAUAUUAUAUGUUUUCUUCCUGUUGGUUGUUUUGUCUAAUGCUUUGUUUGGUUGGAGGGAAGAGAAAAGAAAAGAAAAGAAAAGAAAAGAAAAGAAGUUUCUCAAAUUUGUCUUGUUUGGACAUGAAUUAGGAGAGAAGAAGAGAAAGGAGAGGAAAAGAGGGGAAAUUGUAUUUCCCAAUUUGUUGCAAAUGCCCCAACAAAUUUCCCCCCAAUUUGGUGGGAAAGAGUGGGAAAUAGGUAUAAAGCACCUGCAUAUACUUCUUUCUUUUACAGGAGAAAUUUGAUUUCUUCUCUAAACUACUUAUUUAUCCAAACAUCAUAGAGUAAAUAAAAAUUUUUUUUCUUUUCUUUUCUAUUCAUUUCCUCUCUUUAAUUUCUCUCCAAUUCUCCUGCACAAUUAAGGAUCGAAACAUAGGGUAAGGAGUUUUAUGAGUUUCUAAGUUAAAAUUGACAUAUUCGGUUAAUCAACAGACUCAAAACGCUUCUUAUUAAGUUAAAAAAAUGCUGGGUGUCGGAAUUUGUAUAUCCAGACCCCACCGACGGUCGACUCCAGCCUAAAACCCGAAUUUGAACCUAGCAAAUGCAUACCCAUUUUGAAGAGUAGCACGUUGUAAAAUUGUGCAUAUAUCUGCACUAUAAGGGAAGUGCUUGCUUGCUUUUACCCUUGCCAACCAUAAAUACAAACUUGUGUGGCUGGUAAGAAUCACCAAUUUACUCUAUUUAUUCUUUCAUUCUUAUUGUGUAUUGGCUUGUGAAAUAAUUAUCUGUUGGUCUUAAUUUUAUCCUUUUAUUGUUUAUGUGCCACUUUAAUCUAAUCAUUAUGCAAACUUGCGGUUUUAAUGAUUUUAGGUUCAAAUUAGAUUGGGUCUUGAGAGUUGAAAUAUUUUUUGAUGGGAUUUUAAGCUACCAACUGAACUUUUACACUGAAAUAGUUGGUUCCGGUGUUAGUAAGAUGUUAAUAGGAAUAAUGGGAUUGAGCUUUAUUAACUUCAAGAAUACCUGGCUACUGUGAGAAUAAGAUGUUGAUAAAAAUAUGGUUUUCCCGUAAACCCAUGUGCAUGAACUUUAAAAUAUUAUGCCUAUUCCACUUGACAGGCAGCUUUCAGUGAAGCUGUGGGGCGUCUAUAUUGCACCUCAAAGUUGGAAGAGCUGCAUGAGGCAGAUUUUGUUAUUGAAGCUAUUGUGGAAUCUGAAGAUGUGAAGAAAAAGUUAUUUCUUGAACUAGAUAAGAUUGUUAAAAGUUCUGCCAUUUUGGCUUCCAAUACAAGUUCUAUCUCCAUAACACGUCUUGCCUCAGCAACUAGCACGCCGAGCCAGGUUGUGCUUAGAUUAUUUCUUCUUUUACCCUUAGUUUACCUUGGAACAUAUAAUAAGCACAUUUAAUUCAUUAAAAUAUCUCCCAUAUCAACAUUUUGUGCGAGUCUACUAUGGAGUUUCUUUCUUCCGUUUCAUCAUGUUUAUGCAUUAUUUUCAACAAAUCAAGAUUCUAACUAGGUCAUGGAAAACAUAUCAUCUGCAGGUAAUUGGCAUGCACUUUAUGAAUCCUCCCCCAAUAAUGAAAUUAGUUGAGAUUGUGCGUGGUGCAGACACAUCAGAUGAGACAUUUUACGCAACCAAGACCUUGGCAGAGAGGUGACCGAAAUACACUCUUACUAGAAACUUAAUUGCCGUUUGAAUGAUUAAAUUUUGGUAUUCGCUGUAUAUAUAAUGAUGGGCAUAUGAAAAUUUAAUUUAUUUUUAAUAUUAGCUUAUACAAGUGAUUGAACUUCUUGUGCAUCAAAAUGACUAGAUAAUUCGAUAUUAAAGCUCAAUUAUUUAUAUUGUGCACUUCCAUUAUUUAUAUUUUCAAUAUGGGACUUUUUACCCAAUUAAUUUCCCAAUGCUUCCCUGUGAGUGCAAACACAUGGUUAUUACUUGACAAUUAAUUGGCAUUAAUUCAAUAUGGGCUCAAUCAUACGGCCAAGUGAGUGGUUAAUCUCACAGCCCAAUCAGAGCUCGAAUAAUAUAUUAAAUUUGAAGAGAGUGACAAACAUAUUGUACUUUAAUUCAUUUUUAGUAUGGAAUGUACAAUUUAUUGAGCUGUUUGCGCAUAAAAAAUGACUAAUCAAUCCAAUAUUAGUAUAUCACAACUCAUCCAUUUAUAUUGCGUCAUUCCAUUAUUGAAUUUUCAAUGGGACUUUCUACCAAAUUUAUUUCCCAACAUAUGCAUGUGCCUGCGAUAAAAAACUUUGUUAUACUUUAACAUCCAUUAAAUAUUUCUGGAUGGUCUCUAUUCUUUGUUUCUCCUCUGUUUUUAAGUUGCAGUAGGCAAACAGAAUAUCUCUCUUCCUUUUUUUUUUUAUUGUCCUUACUGCAUUAUAAUAAUUACAGUCCACUAUCUGCUUUAACACCAAUGGCUGUUAUAUCUGCAGGUUUGGCAAGACAGUUAUAUGCUCACAGGAUUUUUCUGGUUUCAUUGUAAACCGAAUUCUAAUGCCAAUGAUAAACGAAGCAUUUCAUACUCUUUAUACAGGAGUGGCAACAAAGGAGGACAUUGACACAGGAAUGAAGUUAGGAACAAACCAUCCAAUGGGUCCUUUAGAGCUUGCAGAUUUUAUUGGAUUAGAUGUCUGCCUGUCAAUAAUGAAAGUGCUUCAUGCUGGCUUAGGGGACAGUAAAUAUGCUCCCUGUCCACUUCUCGUGCAGUAUGUUGAUGCAGGUCGUGUUGGACGAAAACGUGGCAUCGGAGUAUAUGACUAUCGUAAAUCCCUUGAACAAGUAAAGCCAUCAGCUCGGCUUUGAAAUUUAUAGCAUAGUAUUUUGCCAAUAGUGUAGUGCUUUGUAAAUAAAUUACAUGCAAAUAAGUGUCCAAUACCAACUCCUCCUACUGUUGUUUUCUUCCUUUGGAUCCUUGCAAAUUAAGAACAAGCUCCCAGAAGGUGGGCAAGAUUCCCCCAUCCCCACACUUAUAUAAGGGGAAGAUUGUGCUUGAAGUAAUGAACUUCACAGACUUUUCUAUCAUCUGUUCAAAUAUAUUGAUGAAUUGUUAAUAUUAUAGCCUAGUAGAUUCUUUAAUAAGACCUCAAUAUGACAUUGCCUUGUCAUUUUGUUAUAUUAUAACUCAGAUACCAAGCAGAUGAUUUGAUGUGAAUCUAAUUCGAUGUAAAUCGGUUUACUUUGGUAUUCUUUCUAUUAUCUUAUUUUCAAUAAUAUUCUGAAUUCUAUCAGAUACAAUGAUGGUGAUAGCAUCGAUUUAAAAUUAUUGAGUACCGUAAUGCGACAGUAUGCACGCCUAGAAGAUCCCAAGGGAAGUUCCAGAGCCUUCAAUUUUAACAAUGUCAGACGCUUUUUGAGUAUGGAAGUGACGAUAAUUCCACGUCACUCCUCUUCACAAUUAUUAUUAUUAUCUUCUUCUUCUACCGGCAAAAGCAACCCUGAAAGUCGCAAACUAGAUUGCAAUUCACAUGCUUUAUUUAUCUUUUCUUUGUCCACAUUUAAAGCAAACUCAGAUUCACCACCACCACCAUGCUUGCUGUUGAUUAUGCUUCUUGCUUGUCCAUGAACAAAAAAAAAGGAAAAAAAAAAAAGAAAAUUUGUUAACAAAAUUUCCAAUUAUGAUCAUUGAAUUCUAACCCAGUUGAUAUCAAUAUAACUCAAGAUUUGAAACUUUUCUAGCUACAUGGUAAUGUAAAUUAAAUUUAUUGUUUCUAAGCACUAGGGAAUCAUUUAGGGUGAGACAGAAGAAUCAGAAGGAGCCUCUAAAUUUCCACAUUAGUGACGAAAUAUGGCCCACAAAGAGAAGAGAGAGAGCCUAUUAAGAGCAUUAAGUUCAUUGUUUCUCAUAGCCAACCCUACCACACCCCUACUGUCAUUCUUAGCUUUUCUUUAUUGAAAGCGAUUGAUCUUUGAAUCCUACGGAUAAAAACAAUUUGCACAAAUUAAUAACCAACAUUAUUAGACCAGAAAGAGGAUAAAAAGGCCAAAGAAAGCUAAGACUUUUGCUGCAUACAAGGUUUUUGGUCCAUUUUUCAGAGCUGAGAGAGAGAGAGAAGGCAUAAGCAAUGAAGUUCUUGUUCCAGUGUCCUUGUUGCUCAUGUUUCUGCUUCGUGAAGCCCAAGCAAGGAAAGCCAAAGGCCAAGGAAGCAAAGGUAGAAGAUUCCAAGGAAGGAAAAAAGGAAUGAGACGAUUGAUGCUGUUUGAAAAUGAUGGAACUGCUCUUUUACUUUGCUGCUGUAUGUAAUAUGUAAAAUUUUUUCUUUCUAGUUCAUCUGAAAUGUUUCCACCUUUUAAUUGCCAUGCAUGGAAAAUAAAAUUUCACAUUUUGUUUUGCCUCUAAUCUGGCAAAAUGUAUGCGAGUUUCUGCUUGAUCGCUUUGCAUAUCAGUUUGUCUCAUGACAGUAAUAGAAAAUGUGAAUCAACCCAUUCCCAUAAAAGGGAGUCUUUAUGGUUUGUAAGCAUUCUAAAGCAUUUGUUUUAGCAGUUCUAAGAGGUAUAAUUGAAAUUUGCCAAGAUAUUUUGAUAUUUUCCAAAAUUUCCCCACAAAUUUUCCUGAUUUGUUCAGCUACAACUCCAUGUUCUUCAAAUUGAUUUGAGGCCAUUUGAAAGGGAAGCUAUUCUUUCUAAAACAUUGUCUAAAUGAUUAUGGUAAAAGAUGUAUAGUGUGCUCUUUGGCUCCAUGAAUAUGCUUUAGAGCAAAUGAGAUUGGCUCAAUGUAUCCAUUGAUAAUUUGCUGCUGGUAAUUACUGAGAAGGCAGCUUGGCAGAGUUAUGGUAAUCAAUAAGAGGGUAACUAAUGACCCAUGGC
rnacentral:lncRNA from 1 species